AAAACAACAAAUCAGCAUUUUUAAAAGUGCCUUGGUAAAACGACACACACACACAUCUCUGAAGGCAGGAGAGAUGCGACCCCCUUUGUCAAACCCCUUCCUCACCACGCCACCCCUCCAAGCGAGGCCCCUGGAGGAGCAAGCAACCACAAUUUUUUGGACUAUCGGUUUAUUGUGUGGUAGUGCAAUAUAGUAGGCCCUUUCUUCGACCGUCACCCCCCCGUCUCCUUUCAGCAUUUCAGCAGAAGAAGCUCCGCCGCGAGGGGUGUGCGGGGCUGACCCUGGGCAUCUUCACCCUGAGCAAUGUGCAAAAGCAUCCCUCGCGCCCUGCGAGCCUCGCGGCCUUUGACGGCGGCGAGGCAGGAGCAAGGCGAACGCAGCCGGCUUCAGCUUCCAGCCGAGCCCGGCCUUCUCCCCGCCCGCUCCAUGUUUCCCCCUCCCCGCCCUCCUCACAGCGCGAGAGGGAACAAAAAACAGGCCCUUCCCCGGCCGCUCCCGCUUAAUCUCCCUCCACCCACCGGUUGCCCGGCCAACAAGCCAGACAAGCAGGUGAUCCAUUGACAGGGAGCAGAUGGUCUCCCGCCGAGGUAAGCGAGGCCCAACAAAGAAACCAUAUUGAUCAUAUUGCUCCUUUCCUAUUCUUCGGAUGCAGCGUCAGGGCUCGGGACGUUUUCUCACUCGAGCUCCCUCCUCCCCGCCGCGCCGCUGCCGGGCCUGCCUGCAUCUCCCUCUGACACACAGGGCGACGCUGCUCCGCCUCCCCCUUGGGCAGCGGAGAACCAAGCAAGGCCUUGAAGGGCUGCCUCAAGCGGAGCUGCAAAUGGCGCGCUUCCACCCUUCCCUCCUCUUUGCCUAGCGCGCCUACAGCCCAAGGCCGGCUAAGUAUUUUAGGCUCCCGAGGCAAAGCGCCCCGCAAAAUACUUCUUCCCCCAUCCUGACAGGGAAAAACACCACAACGGUUCAAUGGCAAGGCGCUGUCCUUUCCAUAGCAGUCAACUUUCAGAUUUGAAAAUACAGUGGUACCUCGGGUUACAUACGCUUCAGGUUACAUACGCUUCAGGUUACAGACUCCGCUAACCCAGAAAUAGUGCUUCAGGUUAAGAACUUUGCUUCAGAAUGAGAACAGAAAUCGUGCAGUGGCGGCGCAGCGGCAGAAGGAGGCCCCAUUAGCUAAAGUGGUGCUUCAGGUUAAGAACAGUUUCAGGUUAAGUACAGACUUCCGGAACGAAUUAAGUACUUAACCUGAGGUACCACUGUAAGGGAUCAGCAGCCUCACCUGUCCCGGGGAUGGUCUACGGGAUAUCUAACAAUCCGGGAUAGCAGCGGGAAGCAGCGGGAAGCAGCGCUGAAAUAAGGGAAUUUCCUGCAAAAAAAGGGAAGGUUGACAGCUAUGGUCCUUUCAUGGCGCCCCAAAAUCAACUGUUGACACACCAUCAGGGCCAGAUUUAGGUUUGAUGAGGCCCUAAGCUACUGAAGGUAAUGGGGCCCUUUAUAUGUCCAGCUGUCCUUUGUCAACAACAAAUUGUUGCUGUUUUUUGUGUUGAAUAUAUGCUAUAUGGAUCUAAUAGGUAUCUAAAUCCAUUUGCACAUGUUGCCAUGCAACCAGUCCAUGAGGAAUGUAGGCACCCUAUAUAUAGAAAUGAGCAAACCAGUGAUAUUUUAGGGAGCAGGCUAGCAGGCAGGGCCCAUGACUUACGACAUAGGAGCCUACACAAAACAAAACACUGUUGCUGUAUGUAGGUUUUAUUUUAUUUGUUUUUUAUCUUUUAUUUUGGAAAUGUACAUCCAGUUUUUUCCCCUCAAGAGAGUGGGGCCCUAAGCUAUAGCUUAUUUAGCUUAUACAUAAAUCCGGCACUGCACACCAUACAUCUAAACUGUAGUUUGUUAAUGGGGUGCUGGGGUGGUGGCUCUGAGAGGGGCAAACUAGAGUUCCCAAGAUUCUUGGGGAGAGGGGCGAAAGUUGUGUGCUUUGGGUGUGCGGUGUGUAUGCAGCCUCAGUUUCUGCCUAAUGGCAGGGCCGGCUGCUUCACAGUUUAAUGGAUGUAUUCCUCGCUUCCCACAGCCUAAGGAAAUCUCGAAGCGAUGGAUCAGGGCAACUUCUGUUCUAUUAAGGAUUUGAUGCCCUUGAGGUAAGGAGAAGAAAGUCAUACGCUUGGAGGCACCCUUCCAUUCCGUCACAUAAAACCACACUUGUGAAAAAGUGGGAGGGGAGGCUGUCAUACAUUUUGCUGCUUGAGAUAGAGUAACAAAUAGAAAACCUCACCCCUGUCAUGGGUGUAGCCAAGGGGGGGACAAGGGGGGCAGCUGCUCUCCCUAAAUCAAGGUUAGGGAGGUUCUGCCCCCCCUAACAAAAAUCCUGGCUAUUCCCAUGACCCCUGUUGAGGUACAUGGUACCCAGGACUGGCCAAAUUAUUUUGGCAGCUUUGCUUACUGGCACUGUAAUAAAUCAAAUAGCUAACCAUUUGCUGCCCUUUCAUGACACCCCAAGUUAGCUUCCUAAGGUGUCUGUCGUAUUUUGGCAUGGUUCAUAAAAGCCGAGCCAAAAUAUGGCUAAGUAUGAAAGGUAUAACUGGAGAGGAGAUCAUGGCCACUUUGUCCUCCCUCCUCUGCUUCUGCAAACUAAGGCAUAGUUUGGCUUCACAUCUGAUCCAAAAACAGUCUCAUACGUUGUCUCCCUAUGGCAAACUUUGUCUAAACCUUGUGCUUUGUUGGAUGACACACUGAGGGAUCAUCUUUGUUCCACCGCUUUCCCCUAUGGUUUAGUGCUGAAGUGGAACAAACAGCAACCACAUUUUCUGUGGAUUGCCGUUUGUUCCAAUUUAGUGCUAAAGAGCAUGUUUUCCAGGGGGAAAUGGCGGAGCAAAGGCAAAACUGCUCAGACACAUGCCUAGAAAGAAUGGGACAAACAGAAAACCACUCAGAUCCAUGCUUUCUAGGCACAGGACAAGCAGAAGUGUGCAUAAGCCCCAAGUCCCCCAACUUUUUUUUUGCCAUAGACUGCUUGAAAAUUGCUGAGGGCUUUGGCUCUUAAUGAUUUUUCUGCCUGUUGUACCAACUAUAAUGUGCUGCGAAAGGUGCUAUACAAUUUUAAAUUGUAUUUUUACAGACAGGCCAUGGACCACCUGAAUGAAACACUCUUAGACCACAGUUCGGGUUUUCUAAUCUUUAAGCGCUAAGCUCAUAGCAGCAUAGCAGUAAGAGGACUAGGAGGGGAGCAAAGCAGCCAUGUUUCUCUAGGAACCCACAUGCUUUUUUGUUUCUGACGAACCAUUGUUUGGCUUAACAGCACAUAUGAUUCAGGUCUGUGUCUAAUAAUAGGGCUGACCCAGCUUUUUCCUCAUCUGGUGUUAGCUUUUUUUCCAUCCCAUAUUACUCUUUAAUGCUGCUGCUUUGGCAUUCUAUAAACCCUCUUUCUCAUGACUGGCUCAAGACUUUUUAGCACCAUGAGUGGCACCAUGGCAAAAUUUGAGUGCGGUGUCCCAGGAUUCUUUACAGUGUAUCAGAGAGUGGCACAGGGUUCAUAGGGACACAAGAUCAGGAGCAAAACUAGCAUAGCUCUGUGUAUUUUAUUUAUUAUGGGAAUUCAUAUUCUACUGUUCAAAUAUUCAAGGCAAGUUCCUGUGUAGACCUUCCUGAGUUAUUCCAGGUAGUUUGAUUCCAAUGGAAGGUUGUGUGCCUGUGUGUUGGCAAAUUGCAAGUCUUCAGACUGCUGCAAAUUGCAGCCUGGGGUGGGGGCAUGAUGGAACAAGGGCUGUUCCUUUUCCUCUGUUGCAUUUUCUUGCUAUUUGCCCUGUUAUACUUAUUGAGUUUGUGUGUAUGUUUGGGAUUUUCAUUGAAAAAAUGGCACAGGGGAAUGUGUUAAGCCCUCUCUAUAUGCACCAUAGUCCCAAUCCAAAUGGGAACCCCACAUUGCUUCAGUUUGCAAAAGGCUAAAGAGUGAGAUGCAUUCACACACCUGUCUCAUCUAUUUUGGCCCUCAGACCCAGUCCAUUGAACCAAAUAUUUCUUUGUUAAAACAUGCCCUCCUUGAGACAGAAGAAAGGAAAGGAAAAUGGCCCUAUAGAUUAUCUCCCUGCCCCCAAUCACUUUAUUCAAGUCUGGAUGCUUAUGAGGGAUAUUUGGAGGCUCUCCGACUGUACAGUCUUUCCCUCCUUCUCAACCAUUUAUCAGGACUGACUCAGUAUUCACUGCUGUGUAGCAAAUUGUGAUGAUACCAACAAGGAAAGCUUGAAAAAUGGUUAGCUCUUGUUCACAAUUUUGCGUCCUACUUUCAUAGCUGUCACAUAAAUUCACUGCAAGCUUUGCGCUAAGACAAGAGAGAAGAAUUUUUAAAAAAAGAAAUAGUCUGAAAACAACAGUGACAAAACCCAAGGGCACAGUUUGCUACGGUGUCUGCACUUGUUUGCAGGUGGUUCUGGAAACCAUAACUACAGUAGCUGCUUCUAGUGUUUUCACAAGUAGUUGCUGUAUAGCUUUUAAGAUAAAUUUACUCUCCCUUCCCCCAGUCCAUUUUACAGUAAAUAAAAAUGCCCCAAAGGCCUUUUAUUUCCCUAAAAGGGUGAAAUGUGUGUGUGCGUGCGCACCCCCUCCCCAUACACACAUGCAAGAAAGAAAUGAAAAGAAACAGGUUCUGUGAAUAAAGGCCAGACAAUGCAGGGUCACAAAGCUGUCUCAACUAAUGUCAUAGUGGAGCUGCUGGGCCAGCUUACAGAGGACUGCUUGUUCCUUGAUGUUUAUGGUGAUCGGUAUAACGCAUGUAACACUUUGCGAGUAGUUUUAGGACAAGUGGAAAAGAAAAGGUCUUUCACAAUAACCUCUUUUCUGAUGCAUUGGGAGCAUUAUGUGCUCCCAAACACCUGUGGUUGACAAAGAAGGAGCUGGGCGAGACAAACAUAAAUAAAUAAAUAGAGGGAACAAGAGAUUGUUUCGGUGUAUGCAGCCCCUCUCUUCUGAGCACAACAGAGCUUUUAGCUUUAAAAUGCUCCUUAAGUUAGUCUUUUAUGAACUUCAGUAAUGGACAGCAGCACAAGAAGCAGAGGGUAAUUUAAAGUGAUGGCAAAAGUUUUGUUCUGCAAAGGUAUUUCAAAAGAUAGGAUGCUUUCAUGCCAUUUGAAAACAUUUUCUCUGUGUUGUGCUUUGUUUUAUUAUUUACAACCAGGCCUAGCCACAAGUGCCUAGCAGUCUUUGUAGACUGAAGAAUUUUGCAGCAUAAACCACAAACACUAGACUAUUCCAUGGAAAAGACUGGUUUGUAAAAGAAAUACAUACACAGAGGCACCCUUACUAGGAAGGAAACUUCAUUGAUCUCAGUGGUGCUUCUGAAUAAACAUGCAUAGUAUUGCACUGUUUGGGUGUAAUAAACGUAUCUGUCAAUAAGUGUACUCAGUGAUGCUUCCUUCUGAGUAGAUGUAUAAGGGACCACACUGCUAGGCAUCAGUUCCUAUGUAUGCAUAUCUAGAAGUAUAUUCACUUGAAAAAAUGAGUGAGACCCACCUCAAAGUAAGCAUGGAGAACAGAGAAUAAAUAUAUUUCUGUAAUUUUUUUAAAAGAACAUAUUACUAUAGUAAGUUCUUUUUGGACAGACAAAGUUAGGAAUACAGUAAAUCCAGAUUCAGAUAGAUUUAAUGUAGUUGCACAACUAAUAUGCACUAGCAACCAAGCUUUAUGGGUAUGUUUAGCCUGGAAAAGAGAAGACUGAGAGGAGAUAUAGGCAUCUUCAAAUAUCUUAAGGGCUGUCACAUGGAAGAUGGAGCAAACUUGUUUUCUCCUGCUCGGGGGGGGGGGGGGGCAGGACUUGAACCAAUGGCUGCAAGUUACAAGAAAGGAGAGUCCAAAUAAACAUCAGGAAAAACUUUCUGAUAGUAAGAAUUGUUUGACAGUGGAACAGACUCCCUUCAUUGGAGGUUUUUAGGCAGAGGUUGGGUGGCCAUCUGUCCAGGAUGCUUUAGUUGAGAUUCCUGCAUUGCAGGGGGUUGGACUAGAUGACCCUUGGGGUCCUUUUCAACUCUACAAUUCUAUGAUUCAAAAGUCAGGGGUGAUGGGAGUUGCAGUCUAGCCAGCAGCAUUUUGAGUGUCACAGUUUCCCCACCCCUAUCUAGACCAAAAAUGGUUUUAACUAUUAUUGUUUCAGAAGGUAGAUACAUAAGGAUAAAUAUCAGGUUUCCAUGUAAUAAUUUCAUAUAUUUCAAACACAUUAUUAGAUUGUGAGAAAUGGUUAAAUAAUUGUAAUAAAGAAAUAUGAUUUGAUGCUGCUUCAUAUAUAACUAUUCAGGAAAACACACAUAAUCUUCUUUACAAUUUGCACAGCUAGAAUGCUUUCUAUUGAGAUCAGGUUUAUUUUCACCCUUCUGGGGCAGGGUAAGGUUUUAUAUCAUGUCAUUGAGGUUGGUAGCAUUAGAAAUAAAGGGAAAAUAAAGGGAAAUUUAGCAUGGAAACAGAUGUUGUAAUUUAGCAUGGUAUGGGGUCCAGUUUGGAUUAUUAUAUGGAUUUUAAAAGCUGUGAUUCAGGGCACUGGUUCCCAGAGUAAAAUCAUGCUGUUUAGGAUUGUCUUGAAGGAGAAUCCUCAAUCUAUGAAGGUCAUAAAGGAAGGGAUUAUACAGAUAGGUUUUCACAAAAUAUCUGAUCUGAAGCUCAUUGAAAUCAGCAGGAGUUUUUAACUCCAGCUUUAAACAAAUAAUGAAUUGAACCCCCAAUGCAUUAUUUAUAUUAAAGUAUACUUUUCUGAAUCAGACUGUUAGCAAAACAGAUGUUUUAACCAGGGGGCAUCUCAAGCUCUUUCAAGAUUGCAGGAAACGUAAAAUAUGUUUACUUGAGAAGCUAAAGUAGAAUUCAAUGAUGUCCAAACAAGAGAUGGAAAUAUACUUAUUAUAUACAGCAUACAUCCGUCACAAUCCCCAACUAAAUGCAAUAAAUAAUAAUAAAAUAAAUUGAAACAAAGCCUAAGUGAGAGACCUUGUGGGGUAGUGGUUAGUGUAUGGGACAAAAGCUAAAGAGCCCUGGGUUCAAAUCCCCACAAAGCAUACUUGGUGAUCUUGGUCUAGGCAUUCUCAGCCUACCAUACUUCACAGGGUUACUACGAGCAUAAAAGGAGAGGUGUCUUGCAUACCACCCUGAAUUCUUAAGGAGAGUAGGAUAAAGGUUGCCAGGGUGACAAAUCUACAGAAAGUGGAAGGGGAAACUUAGUAAUAAGAAAUUACAUGCAGAUUUGGGAGAGUGUGCUCUAAGUCAGAGUUGGGCAAUGUGGUACCCUCCAGAAAUUGAACUACAACACUCCCCUUCAGCCCCAGCUAGCAUCAGCAGUGGUCAGGGGUGUUGGAAGCUUUAGUCCAAAAGCAUUGAAGGGCAGAUAUUGACCAUUCUGAAGGAUAAAACAGUAUCACUUAGUCUUUAAAUGUUGAGUUGACUGCAUUAGUACAGAGUAAAAUAUUAGGGAGUAGGGUAGCAGAUUACUAGCUCUUUUGUUUAAGCUAUGGCUUAUGAAGUCUGCACAGAAAUGAAAGCUUAAUCUGAGUCACAGCUCAUAGGAAGCCGUCUUCUUUUUUUGGCAAUCACUCAUAGCUGAGUAAGAUUGUCUUCCAUAAACACGGUUUUUGGGUUUUUGGAAGACGCCUGUGCGUGAAUUUGUUUUAUGUGUGUCGAUCAGUGCACGUUAACUAACACACAGUCUUUGCAGUAGGGCUCUGUUCCGAUGGCAUGAUGUAGUCACGACAAACCAGUAGAUUAAGCCGUCUUCUAUCACACUAUACACAUGGUUUGGGCUGGUUCAUAUGGGGAGAGGCAGUCCUUGAGGUAUUAUAGUUUUGAGCAUCAUAGGGCUUCAGAGGUCAAUACUAGCACUGAAUUGAGCCAGGAAGUUAAUCAGUAGCCAGUGUGGUUGUCAUAAAAUCAGUGUGCUGUGUUCAGACCUUCUCAUCACAGUCAGCAAUCUGGCUGCUGAAUUCUGCACUAGUUGUAGUUUUUGAACUAUCUUCAAAAGCAGCCCAGUGUGUAAUGCAUUACAGUAAUCUAACCUAUAGGUUAUCAGAGCAUAGACAACUGAAGCUAGGUUAUAGGGCUAGGAAUCACCCUUGAUUGAAACCCUGGAGAGACACUGUUAGUUAGCUAGGUGAACUGAAGCAUAAUGUAGCUUCCUAAAGUUCUGUAUUGCAUCUGCUGAGGUAUAUUCUGAAUUAAGUUUUUCCAAAUAUGUCAUUAACUAGCAGAACCAACAUGCUCUGAAAUCAGUGGAGCCCAGGCUGCUGUAGAGUAAAUGAAUAAAACUUGCAGAAGGCAGAAAAGAAGAGCCUUCAGCAAUGUGUGAUAGUGAGGUGCAUGUGCUGGUAAAAGUUUUGGGGUUGUUACAAGCCUGUCUUUAUCUCCCCAUAUGAAAUGUUGGAGGGUAUGCAAUGAUAUCCUAUCAUGGACCCAGCAGCUGACAUUUUGGGCGGCUGGUUCCAUGAGAGCAAACCCACUGGUGUCUUCCACCCCUAAUUUGACAAGUAAGUGAACAAACAUUUCAUACCUCAGAAGGCUGUGUUGUAGAAUGUGGGAUGGUUCUCCGCUCUCUGAUGUUUCCCCUCAGUUACUUAGCAAUGGCUAAUCAAGAUAUGCACACACCAUAUUGUUUUACGUGUUUGACUAGGACCCUGACAGAUUAAUAGGAAGGGUAAAUAGCAGGCCUCUCCGUGGUGGCUCAGUGUGGGCUGGCAGGGCUGACUGCUGCCAGACUUUGUUGUAGCUGCACAGAGGAAGCUGCAGCAAAAGCCUGCUGGGGCAAAGUGACCCAGGUCAUUGGUAUUUGUUUCUCAUCUCUAUAGAAAACAAUUGUCCCCUCAAUGGAAGACGGCUUUCCGAAAUGAUGUGGUUCCACAGGAGAGGAAGCAAGUUUGCUUCCACAGGAGUAUAAAGACAUGGAUGUACACAAAAGCUUUAGAAAGCUUUAGAAACUACUGAAUGCCAUGCAAAAUUUGGGGGAUGGUGGAUCUGGAAAAUUAUUUUUACAAAUUUUUCUAUUUGAAGCAGCAGAUAAUCUAAUGAUUAUUGCUGUAGGACUUCCCUUGUAGGACUUCUGAAAAUUGUCUUCUUCCUUACUCUGGACAUCCUUGGUGGUGUUUCUUUUCAUGCCUUUUUGUGUCAUGGUAUAAACUUUCUUCGUUCCAUACACCUUUCUAAAGCAGUCUAAAAGCAUGUUUCCCCAUAGGAACUUAGUGUAAGAAGUACUACUGUAAUGACUGUCUUCCUGGUUAAUGUACUUAGCAAUAUUAAGCUUUUAAACCAAAUCACGUUAAGUUUUAAACACAUAACUUAUUUUCACACAUUUAUUUGUAUAGCAUGGAUGUGUGUUUGUAUAGCGGAACUGUGCCUACACUUUCUGGACCCUGACCUCCAUAUGUUCAUCCAAACCUAUGAACAGUACCUACCUGUGUCUUUUAAAAAAGCAGGAAAGAAAAAAGAGAAAGAUGUUUAUGGUGAGAAAGAGCCAAUGAGCAUAUGCAGAAUAGGGCUUUCUCCAGGGUAACUGAGACUUAAGCACAAGAGCACUCUCCCCUCCUGUGGUGUCCAGCAACUGGUAUUCAGAAGCAUUAUGUAUAGCUAUCAUGGCUAGUAGCCAUUGAUAACUUUCUCCUUCAUGAAUUUGUCUAAUCCAUCUAAUUAAGGCCAUCCAGGUCGAUGACCAUCACUGCCUCCUAUGAGUGAGUUCUAGAAUUUAACUCUGCACUGUGCGAAGAAGUACUUCUUUUAUCUCUCCUGAAUCUUCCAAGGCAUAAAGUCAUAGCUAGGAGUCUAGGACUCAGCUGCCCAACACAGCUUGGACUACUGUCACUCCAGCAAAGUAAGCCCAGCAGGGUCCCCUGACAGAGGAAUGGGACCAGCAGAGGACUCUUUGCCCUGGCCCCAUCAACUUCAGCGUGGCCUAGAGGCCACUUGUCAAGCACUUUUGCAAAAACAAUGAGGCUCCUCUGGAUAUUGUGUGCUUUGCCUAGUAAGUGGCUAGAAAGAGACUGUCUCUUUCAUUGGUUGACCACCUCCUGUGAUUCCUUUGCUUCUGCUAACAGAUACUACAACAGUCCUAGGCAGUGCAGAACAGAAACGUGAGAUGUUGUAGCCUUGGCUUACAUUUCAUUUGCUUUGCUUUGGUUCAGCUGCUGUUGCCCGUAGCUCCAUCCUUUCCAAGGCUUUCAUAUCUGAGGCACAGUGUUAGCCAACAUGAUGCACUCCUGCAGUUUACAUCCCUGAUCAUUGACUAUGUUAACUGGGGCUGGUGGCAGUAGAAGUCUAGCAACAUCUGAACAGAGACAGCUUUAGGAGAGUGCAACUGGUUUGGCUGCACUGGGCACAGAGCCUCAUGGGUGCUGCAGAGGAUGCCACAACUAUUAUUUAAAUUGGAGCGAGAGAGAUGGGCAGGGUGCUGAAUUUUGGUGUCCCAUAGGGUGGCACUUAAAUUUGAGACCCCAAGGUCUGCCGCUGAUCUGAAGGGCACUUACCUGUGACCUUGUUUCUGCUCUUCCUUCACUAUUGACUUUGGUUUGGACCAUAAGUUUGUUACAACUUCCAUCAUGUGUUUAUGACUUUGGUGGCUGACUUUAAAAUCAUACCCUUCAUUGUUACACAAUUGAAAAAAGGGACACUCAGAACCUAGCAGCCCAAUGCCAUGGCCUGGGUGAUGGUGGUGGACAGUUCUUUUUUUCCAGGGAGUACUCAAAGGUACACAGAACCAGCACCCCUCUUUUUUGUUGUUAAAAAGUGUGGCACUUACUGUAACACCUUCAUGGUGAGUAACUGCACCUAUUUUUCUAGAAAAAAAGGCACUGGUGGUGGGUCAAAAUAGUCCAGGCUUAAAGGUGGUAAUCCAUUUUCUCUCUCUCUGACCCCAGCAGCAGCCCACUUUCCCUCCCCUGCCUCCCUCUGGUUUCUCCAUUUUCUCCCAGUUCCUUCUCAUUUUUUCAGUUACUUCACCGUCAGCUGCUCAGGUUCCAUUCUGAGCCUUGAAAAGCAUAUGGAGUUGAGGAAGAAUUGUGAAAGUGUGUCGCUUUUCCAGCUUCCUCUUUCAGCUUUAUGUACAUUUCAAGAGGUGGGGAAAGGUAUGGCAUGAUGAAGAGACCAGUACCCUUCCCAGAGAUGCUUGCUGGGUGCCUGCACUAUGGUCUUUUAGAUCCCAGGUGAAUGUCUUUUUAUUCUCUCAGAUGUUUAAAGCAUAAUGGCUGCUUCUAUUUUAGCACUUUUCACAAACCCUUGCUGACUUUAGAUUGUUUUUAGUUGCUGUGUUUGUGUUGGUGUUCACUGUUUUGAUUUAUUUAUCAUUUGUUUCAAUGGUUUUCAACUGUUUGCAUUUUGUUUUAUGUUUUUAAUAAGCAAACUAUCCAGGGAACUCAGUUAUAAUGGCAGUAUACAAAUGUAAUAAAUAGAUAGGCGCCCAUGCAUGCAUGCAUGUAAUAAAUGAAUAGACACCUGGUUUUCUCUUCUCCCUCCCUCCACUAUUUAUAUUCUGGCAGCCAAAUGGAUGGAUGACUAGCAGUGGGUAGUAGUUGUUUCUAUAAUAUAGAUCUUGAUGCUUAUUAAUGCAUUAGCAUGUGGGUGUAGAAGGCUGUGGAAGUUCCCUCCCCCCUAAUAUAGGGAGCUCUUCCUGCAUUUCUUCCCCACUCCUCUUUUCAAAGUUUAGUUGCAGUUCCCAGCCGUUGGGCUUGAACGAAGAGGGAAGCAGCUAAUAGUAAAUAGAUAUAAUUUGCAUGAAACUCCAAGGCUUUUACACGGAAUGGAUUUUUUUUGGGGGGGGGGAUAUCAGUGAGUGCAUUUAGAAUACUAUAUUGCACCAGCUUUUUUGCCUCAGAUCACAGAACUACUUAUGCGAGAAGUAUAUUUUACCCCUUUCUUUCUGCAUAACCUAAACUUGGGCUGUGUACUUAUACACAUCAUACAUUGGAAGUACCUUUUCCAACCCCAGAGAAUCUUGGGAGCUGUAGUUAAGAGUGCUAGGAAUUAUAGCUCUGUGAGGGGUAAACUAAAGUCCCCAGGAUUUUGGGGGUAUGUGUGUGCUUUAAAUGAAUGGUAUGUAUGCAGCCCAAGUAUCCAAAGUACAGACUAUUACAUACAUCAGCUUGCUAGAUGUUAAAUGUACAGUGGGGCCCCGCAAGACGAAUGCCUCGCAAGGCGAAAAACUCGCUAGACAAAAGAGUUUCCCGUUUUUUGAGUCGUUCCGCAAGACGAAUUUCCCUAUGGGCUUGCUUCGCAAGACGAAACGUCUUGCGAGUUCUUGCGAGUUUGUUUCCUUUAUCUUAAAGCCACUAAGCCGUUAAUAGCCGCUAAGCUGCUAAUAGCCGCUAAGCCGCUAAUAGCCGUGCUUCGCAAGACGAAAAAACCGCAAGACGAAGAGACUCGCGGAACGGAUUAAUUUCGUCUUGCGAGGCACCACUGUAUAAUGUCUGUGUUCCAGUUUCAUUUUAGGUGCUAUAGGCAAACAAACAAAAAAUGGAGGGAGGCAACCAUAUCACAUGGAGGUGUGUUUGUUUUGAGGAAUGUGGCAGCCCAGCUAAAAGAGGGUAGUUGGGAGAUAAGCAGCAUCUUAGUUAAUUUCUCAAUAGAAAGGCAAAUGUGGCUCUUUAUCUAAUAAUUGUUUUCAAUUUCUGUGUGGCCUUUUAGAACUAAUCAUAAAGUAACUAACCAGCUUCAUUUCUUAUGCCUGUGACUUUCAGCUAAUAGAAAUGUUAAGCGAAUGAACACAUACAAAGAGAAUAAAAAGUUUUAUCUAGCUUUCCAGCACUGCCUGAAAAAUGCCUCUUCCAGCUAUGCCGAGUGGGGAGCUGGCAAAACGGCUUAUUUUAAAGAUUCAUGAUUGGAGCGCCUGAUAGAAUCUGCCGUCUCCAUAGAGCCAGGCCCUAGAUUCCCCUUUAAUGUAAUUAAGCCUCAAGAUUUAUGAAUACAAGAGGCCAGAACUUGAUCCAUGUUCAUUUUCAAUUACUGCACUGAAAGGCCUCCAUCCAGAUGUCUCUAUUUACAGCAUUCAAACAGACGGGAUCAGGGGCCUUAGGGGGGAGGGAUCGCAAAUUGUCACACUUGUUAAUUCUUCACUGAGGAUACUCAGCAGAGGUCUUGGCUUUGACCCAGUUACAAAAGACAGGGGUCUGCUGGAGCAAGUGCAUCAAUGAUUAGAGGACUGACCCCAUGACCUGCCAGAGUCCCUCCCUCUGCUUUGUAGGUAUUUGUGUAAUAAUGGUGAGGGGGGCUUCAGUCCUUUUUUUAAAUUUUAAAUUCUGUUACAGUUCUAGGAUACAGAAAGAAAGCAGCUAGCCUAGCUCUGAUGUGAAAGACAAACAUACAUAAUGAGAAGAUCAACCCUCCCUUGGCAACAGUAACUGCUAUGAAAUGCUACAGGGGAAAUACACAGUACUUAGUGACCCAGAUAAUUGGGCCUAUUUUAGCAACAUUGUUUUAUUUUUCUUUAGAAGGUUCCCCCUAUCCCAUGUUCCCAGAAUCUGUAAAUCAGCUUGGAAUAUUAGACCAUAGUCUCUUUUCUUUGUUACAACUCAGGGUUUUAGGUAUAAAAUUUUAAUUCCACAGCCAUGAAUUUGUGUAAGAAUAAAAAGUGCAAUAUUUGUACUUUUAGUUUCUGUUUCCCAUCUCCCCCACACCUGCUAAGCACAGACUAAGGAUCCCUCUUGUUAAAAAUAUUGGCUUUAAAAAGUAGAUUACAUUUACAGAAAAAGAAAUACAGCUUGUUGUGUGCCUGUCUUCAAUUAAAAAUGCUAACAGAGCAUACUGUGUUUCUCAAAAAUAUUGCCUCUACCAUCUUCUUACAGCUCAGGAGACGCAAAUGCUACUUGUCUGCCAUAUGCCCUCAUUAAAUAGUCUUGUCGAGUUCUGCUAAAUAUGAUUUGAUUUCUUCUGUUUAUUUAUUUUUAAGUCCUUCAAUAAUUGCUGGUAGAGCUGUUCCCAUGUCAGUCUUUGUAAGGUUUUGUGACCUGGUUUUCUUAAAGUGGUACUCUGAGAAUGUGUACUGAACAAGGCUGGGUAGAAUUUAGGCAGAAGUGGAAGUGGUUGCUGUUGGAUGGAUCAGCCUUUGCCAGCCUGGUGUCCUCCAGGUGUUUAGGACUGCAACUCCUAUCAGGCCCAACCAGCUGAUGGGGAUGUCGUCCAAAACACCUGAAGGGCUCCAGGUUGGCCAAGGCUGCAUUAUAUGACUGCUCCAUGAUCCACCCAUUUGCCCUACAGAAAGCUUCUUCAACUGAGGCCCAGUUCUCACAAACAUCAGGUAAGGAGCCAAACCUAUUUCUGGGCUGCACCACCUCAGACUCCUCCAUACAUAAAAUAAAAUUCACCACAUAAAAACUAGCAUAUUGGAGGGGAAGCUAGGCUAGAGCUCUUUCUCAAAUCUAGUUUUCUAUGUGCAAGGAAUUCUUUCUGUGGAGGAGUUUCCAUUCAUGUUGUCCACCUGCUGACAAUGGUGCAUUCCAGAAACACACAAACCACCUGAUCUGCUCUUUGUGGGAAGUUUGUCUACAUGCAUGCAGGCUGAGUUCUGAUCUUGGGUGCAUGGCUCGUUUGUGCAUGACAAUUGAAUACCAUUUGCUGGAAACCAGGGGAAGGGAGACUGUAGCUUUCCCAUAGCAGUCACCCAUCCCUUUCCCUGCAUCUGAGAACCCUGGUUAAGCCACGGUCCCCAUUUGCAUCUACACAGGUGCCUGAAGCUAUGUGCACAUGUAUGUGUGGCAUUCGCACUUCAUAUCUUUGCUGUGGUAUAAUACCAUUGUACCAUUAUAUUAGUUCUCAUGCAUUUCAUUUCUUUCCUUGACUCAAGCCUCAAAGCUGUGCAUUCCUGCUGUAGUUUUAUCAUGACCUCAUACACUUGCUGGAAAUUCCUUCGGAAUACCUCUUGGCUACCAUAGACACUGUGUGAACAAAUAUUGAGACUAGCACUUCCCUUGAGUUCAGUGCUUUUGCUCCGAGAUUUGCAAUUCUACUAUCCCAUCAUUUUUUUUUAAAAAAGGUGUGUGUGAUAAAUGUAGCACAUCCUAACUGAGAUGCGAAAGAAGCAAAGACAAAGGUAUUUUCCAUCCUUUCCUCCAGGAACUUGAUCAGUCAACCUACUACAAAGAGGCCGUCAUAUGCUGUUGAAAUCAUAUAUUCUCCUAAAGACCAGAAAACAAUAAAAAAUAUAGUAGGGUAGGUGACCAGGAGACCAAGCUGCUACUUGCUCAGGAAGAUGUUAUGAUGCCAAUAAAGCUAAAGAAAUUAACUUUGGAUAAGGGAAGUAUAAACUAUGAUUGCCUUGAAAAGUUCAUGUAUUCAGAAAUGAAGGUGGGUGAGGUAAAGCUGCCAGGUGCUUUAAUGUCUGCUUUAGCCUUUCUGGUAAAACAAUGUGGCAUAGAUUAUAAUUAAAUAAACAUUAUGAAUAUAAAUACAAGUAAAUAUUUAGAAUUUUAAUCACACAUAUUACACUGACUUGUUGAAUGUUCUUUUUGAUUCCCGACUAGCCAUUAAUUAUUUAUGCUUUCAAGAUAAAUUAUCAUUUGUGCAGUGAUAUAUAUAAAUCAUAUGAUCAGUUAUAUACUGUAUACACUUCCAUACCAUGUAUCCCAUUAUAUAUUAUAUAUUGACCCAAAUCUAAAUAAGUUUACUUUAUUUUGUCUAUUCUUAGGUAUUACCUUGUGAGGCUAUAUUUACCUCGAAAGGCAACCUUUGGUAGCACAUGACUCUUAAUCUCAGGGUCGUGGGUUCGAUCCCCACUUUGGACAAAAUUGGACUAGAUGACCCUUGUGGUCCCUUCCAAUUUGAUGACCCUAUGAUUUCCUGUGAAAUGAGGCAGUUAUGGUGAAUUCCCUUAAAAGUAAUGAAAUCAGGCUGAUGGACACAUGAAAUUAGGCAGAGUGGCCAGUUAGGGUGAGGGCCACAUGUGGCUCUAACAGUCCAGGUUGUCCACCUCUGCUCUUAAGUGAUGGACACAAGUGGCUUAACAUUUGUGGAAUGCUCUCUCAAGGAGGCUCAUCUGGCAACAUCUUUAUUCAUUUUUACAUGCAAAAACUUUCCUUUUUACCCAGGCUUUUGCUCCUUAAUUUGAAAGGAUUUAAAGUAUUUUUGGCCUCUUGGGACAGGGUCUGUAAGUCUUUUAGUAUUUCUGUUGGGUCUGUACGUUGGUUUGAUUCCUUUCCAUGAGUAAAGCAACUAAAUAAUUUCAAAUGGGACAUACUAGUAAAUCUUCAGUUGUUCAGAUAUGGGAAUAAGCAGCUCACACAUGCACAUUUACCAUUUGAUGAAUGUGAUGACAGGUGACAGGCUUGCAUAUGUCUAACAGUUCAGUGAUUUCUUGCUGUUAAUUAAAAUGAAGACAAAUCCUUCUCAGGUGUUCCAGGUCACAGGCAAGGAGUCAAUAGCAUGUCCCUUCAAUUAAACUUUCAAACUGUACAUUGUGGCUCUGGAGGCUACAUUGAUUGCUGUUGACGAUGUUGUAACUUAUGGGUAGGCAAACUAAGGCCCUGGGGGCCGGAUCAGGCCCAAUUGCCUUCUAAAUCUGGCCUGGGAAUCAGCGUGCUUUUACGUGAGUAGAAUGUGUCCUUUUAUUUAAAAUGCAUCUCUGGGUUACUUGUGGGGCCUGCCUGGUGUUUUUACAUGAGUAGAAUGUGUGCUUUUAUUUAAAAUGCAUCUCUGGGUUUUUUGUGGGGCAUAGGAAUUCAUUCAUAUAUUUUUUUCAAAAUAUAGUCUGGCCCUCCACCAGGUCUGAAGGACAGUGGACUAGCCCCCUGCUGAAAGUUUGCUGACCCCUGUAAUGUAACCUGUGCAGAUGCAGGAUGUGUGUUCAUGCACUUUCCUGAAUAUAGUGGAACUAGAUUAGAGUAAACGCAGUCAAAUGCUGCCUGUGUCCCAGCAUGUUAACGGGGAGAAAAUAAUGUGCUCCUUCAUGGCGUUUGGUUUGGCUGGAAGUGAAGCCAGAAGCAUGACCUUUGGAUAUUUAUGGAGAGGCUAUAUAAUUAUCUUUCUUCUUAGCUGACCUAAGAUUGUCCAGCUGUGGAAAGCAAGUGCUCUUAGUAUUGAUUUUAUCUUAAGGAUUUUAUCAUAAGAGGAAAGAAGAAGCUGAAGUAGGGGAUAUUUUUUGUAAUUAGGUGACUCAGAAAUUGAAUAAAAUAUACAGUUGGCUACAAAAUGGACUGUCAUUCUCUUACAUUCAUUUAAAGCUUACGUUAAUAUACUAGGGAGUUUUUGCAAUUGCACACAGGUCUUAUUCUUUAGUACAGCCUUCCCUAACCUGGUACCCUUCACAUGGGUGUGCUGGCUGAAGCCAAUGGAAGCUGUAGUGUAGAGCAGACCAGGUUGGAGAAGGGUGCUUCAAUAGUAUCUCCAGUGCUGUAUGCAAAUCAGCAAAAACAGUUGGCACACAUUGAUAAUCCAUCAUGAAAAGGUAGAGUGGAUCCCACUUUCGCCCACAAGGACCUGGCGUUUUAUCACUAUAUUGCCUAUAGAAUUGGAAUGUAAUGCUAUGUAUGCAUAAGAGUCAGAGUUCCAUUGCAGCUUGUGAGGUGAUGCAGUGGAAGAAAAAUUCUUCUGUCAUUGAGUGGGUGACUGGGGGAGAGGUGGACACUACAUGGACGGAGUGGUGGCAUGGGGUUGCUAUGUCAGACAUGGGGCUGGUGAACGGCUGGUGUCAGUUGCCUCUACUGGGUACUGUCCCAAUAGUGAUGUGCCUUUUACUCUGUUUUUCACAACGUGUGGGUGAGAAGGAAGGGUAAGGGAAACAAAUGGAGGAAUAGGGUAGGGUGGGGAGUUUGUGGCUACAUAAUUUUAGAUACCUGUGGGCUGUGGCUGCAAUCCUAUUUACACUUCCCUGCUAAUAAGUCUCACUCAACUCAUUUGGAUGAUUUUGUUCUGAUUACGUCUGCAUAGGAUUACACUGUUGGGGUAUCUAAGCAAAAUUAAAGACUUCUCUUCAUAUUCCAUCUUUGUAAAGUUAGGUAAGCUUCAGAAUCUGAUGAUAAUCCUGGAUAAAACUCUUAACAAAGGGUAACCAUCACAAAUAUGAACAACUUCCCACAGAACUGUGUUUGCACUAAAGUGAUAUUCAGAAGUAAAUGCAUAUUUGCUACCUAUUGUGGGAUCCCAUGUAGUCAUCUUUAUAACUUACCUUUCCCCCAGGCUUUUGAUAGACUAAAAUGAUACUAUUAUGCUGUUAGUAUUCUGCCAAAGUGUCAUGUUGCUGUUAUGGAGGGUUGUUUGCUUUGCUUUCUUUUUGUGGUGUAAUGUGUUUAUAUUUAAGUUUUUAAUGUGUUGCAAGUCACUUAGAGACUUUCAAGUAACAAACAAGUCUUAAUAAUAAUAUUAUAGUUCCAAUGUGUUGCUGAAACAAAUGCUAUUUAUAAGUUAAUAGAGAUGGACAGCAAAUAUAGACCAUGGUUUAGGAACUCCUGUUAUACAUGGGGAGGCCUCUCCCUGAAGGUCUUUCCCCAAACAUCAUCCUCCAGUUUGCACUGCAAACUGCUUUUGAAUUUCUCUGGAAUUUAAAUGAAGGCUAAGAAUGGGGUUAUAUUAGUAGUGCAUUAAUGUGUCGGUGGGCAUAUACAUAGAUUAUCAAAAUACUGUUUUAUAUAGCAAGGGCUGCUGUGGCAUCUUAAAGAUGGAGACAUUUAAUCUGGCAUGUGCUGGCAGAGCACACUUUACCAAAUGCAUGUAAUGAAUUAGGUAGUGAAGAAGCAUUGAGGAAAGUGGAUUCUAGUGCUCAUAAACAGGUGCCACAAUAAAUGUGCUAGGAUUUUGCUGUAAGAGAUCUUGCCAACCUUGAUCUUCAUUUAGAAAUAGUUUUGAAUGUGGUUGCUGAGCCGUCAGACUGAUUCACUACGGUCCUUAUCAACUGUCCUAAAUGUGUGACUUUUUAAUAUAUAUUUUUGGUUGGCAACUUUUGUGCUACACAUUCUUUGAGUUGAGAGUGAUGACUAAUGGUACUUUUAUAGCAUACAUUCCUUUUCAUAAAUAAAUGCAAAGCUCAUUAGCGGGCUGUUUAAAUAUUAUGUUCAAAACAUUAUUUGUGCUACCUGGAUGUAGAGAGGUUUUCUUUUUUGAAUUGUAAAGACCAAGUCAUACACAUGAGACAAACUAGAAGGUAACUCCUAAAUUUUAAAUCGUGCACAUCUGUCAGCUUUUGACAACAAUGAAUCUUAAGUAGAUUUGCGAGUUAUUUAUGGUUAUCAAAGUGAUGUCCCCAUUGUAGAUGGAAAGUCAUGGGGAGCUUCCCUUGUUUUCUGACUUCCCUCUUGCGGUGCCAUAAAUCUAACUUCUGCCCAUCCCAUUGUUAAAAGAAAAGCAGCCAUAUUGUGCUGAUUGCUAUUAAAUUAAAGCAGAAAGAGUGAGAAACAAAUGGGAAAGCCCAUCUUACCAGCAGGAGUGCCACUACCUUUUAUUUGGCCUUUUGGAGGUCACAAAGUCAUUGCAGGGAUCUGACCUCCGAUAACCCCCUUUGCUGGAACAGCAUGCAGCUUCUCUCUGGAAGAACUUAAUUAAACACAAUUGAAUUUCCUUGCUAACAUUUGUAGCUGAAAAGCUUGCUCUUUGAUUGCUUGGUGUUUGCUGGUUAGAAGAAAACCAAGAUGCUGCUUUUGUUCCCCAAAGAAAAGUUAGCAUAUGUUAGUUCAGGAUUCAUGGUUUUCUUUACAUUUCUCACUGGUUCUCAAACACUGCAGGCCGAGGAAAAUAUUGCGGGAUAAGAAAAGGGGGGAAAUAAAGAUUUAUUGUUGUAUUAAUUAGAAAACGAAAGACGAAUUCUUAUACUUGGAGAUAGCGUGCGGCUUGUUUUGUUUCUUUUUUCUUUCCCCACUCAUUUAAACAAUUGCCUAAAUAAUUGGGUCAAUCUAUUUGGAUAGGCUGCCCUAUGCUAAUUGCCAAAAACAUAGCUUUAAAAUACAUUAAAAUGUAUCUGACAAACCUACAUGGAGUAAGGCUUUUUUAAAGGCUGAUUUUGCAUGUGUGUUUUGGGUUAAUUCCUAUUUGCAUGGUGGCCCCAACUCAGACAUAGCACAUAUGCAAACACUUACUUGUGGUAACACAUUUCUGGCUAUCUCAUCACUUGUGUGCCAAUGCCCCAUGACCCAGUUGCUCCCUGGGUCAGUGUCAAUUAUUCCACAGGGGCAGACCCUAGCAAAACCCAUUGGCCGGUUGAGAAUCCCCAGACCCAGGCCUGCCUGCUAUUGGCCAAUCUGCAGGCAGACUUGCACUCUUCCCCAACCAGCUGCUGGAUCACUGACGUGGGGCUGUGGCCAGGCUACAAUACCAGCUGAGUGUUUAAAGUAAGUGGAUUUUUAACUGCCUUUUAAACAGCAGACCCACAGUUUAGAAGAACGCCCCAUAGCAAUGUGUGGCAGUCAUGCAACUAGUGCAGCUAUCCAGAAGCAAGUCCCACCGAUAGCUAGGCAUAGGAUGGCAGGUGUGCAGUCCAAGACUAGGCACAUUUGCUCAGAAGAAUUAGUAUGUACAAAAGAAAAUACUUCAUACAAUGCCUAAUAAAUUGAUGGAAAUCACUGCUGCAAGAUGUGAUUAUAGCCAUUGCAUUAGAUGGCUUUGAAAUGGGACAAAUUUACGGAGGGCAGGUUUAUCUGUUGGUGCUAGCUAAAUGGAAGCUACAGUCAUAGAGCUAAAUGGAAGCUAAAAUCACAGGCCCUCUUGGCUAACCCACUAAUGGAGAUAGAAAAUCCAGAGGUGGAGCAUCCCCAACAGAUGGCUUCCUUGGGGAUCUCCCACCACUUCCCUCCCUCUGUAAUUGGUGCUCUUGCCAAAGUGCUCUUAAGAUAAAAAAAAAAUCUCUUCAGCAGGAAUCUACCAUUUUGUAACAAGCAUAUAGAUAAGAUGUUAAGUUGACUACUCUCAAAAAGCUUUUGAUAAGGUCCUCACCAAAGACUCCUGAGUAAAUUUAGCAGCCAUGGAAUAAGAGAAGGGGUCCUAUUGUGGAUCAGGAAUUGGGUAAGUAACUGGAAGCAGAAAGUAGGAAUAAAUGGACAGGACAGUUCUCUGAAUGUAGAAAGCCAGCAUGGGAAAGAACUCCUGGAAAGCAUAGUAUAUAUAGAUUGGGUGUACAGCUCACAUGCACAACAUGAAUUUGUAUGAUGGUAUGCAAUGAACUUGUGUGACUGCCCUUCAGGUAUUUGAAGAGCGCUUAUUGUGUGCCCUUCAGUCUUCUUGAGGCUAAACCUCCAGUAAGGAUCUGAAUAUGCCACUGAAGACUACUUAGGAGGACAACAACAGAAGAGGGCUGAUCUGCUAUGUUCUUCCCAGAAGCUUCUAGCUGGCUAGGGCUUGCAACCUGAAUAUUCAAUUAGAUGGCACUUUGGCCUGAUUCAGCAGGGCUUAUAUUAUCUGACUGUUUUCUUUAGGCUUAGCCCUGUCCUUGUCACCCAGUCUGGGACAGUGUAGAUUUUGUGCAUAUAUUUAGGGGCGUGCAACCAGUUCAUCUGCACUGUGUGCCACAGGGGAUGCCACAACUAUUAUUUAGAAUGGAGUGCGAGAAGUGGGCUUGGAGGCACACACAGAAUUUUGGUGUUACAAAGGGUGCCACUGAAUUUUAAGGUCACCCCAAGGUCUGCCACUGGGAGGGAACAGACAUAUGUGUGAUUCUACUUUAUAGAUAAAGGUUUGGUUUUUUUACUUUUUCUAAGGUUACAUGAUUCUACACAGUGUUCCUUAUUGUUCAAUCAGAUGUACUGGAGGAAAACCUGUGUGGCUGUAUCGGGUCUUAAAAAGCAUAUGUUCAUUCUCUGGCCUGCAGGGUUUGAUGCCCAUGUUUAGUGGAAGCAAUUUGUAAAACACACACACACACACAUGUACACACACCACUAAACCAAAAUAGAUCAUGUUACCAGCUCAUUAGAGUGAAUGUGUCCUGAUAACUGUAAAACGAACCUCACCCAUUUCAUUCUGCCCCCCUUCCCAUUUUGCACAUUUAAUUUGCUAGGUGGUUUCAUUUAUUACUAGAUUCAAGCAGGCAGGCCCUGGUACUGGGCCUUCUUCAUGAAACAAAAACAUUAACCCUCUAGUACACCACCUGUUUGCACUCCAUUGUUAACUCAAAGGUCUCUCUUUUUAUAUCCAAAGUUGUUUAGCUAUUUUUUCAUUGACUUCGUUCUUUAUGAAGACCGAGGCUGGAACUGUGUUCCCUUUUAAAAAACAUACACACACAAAACCAAACCAGAAAUGUACUCUCUCUCCCCCUCUCGCUCUGCCAUUAAUACCAUACUUAUGUGAGUUGUGUCUGCUUUUCUCUGUAUUCAAAGAGGACACAAAACUCCUUGUAUUCUUUUUAGGACCGGUGUACCUUUAGUUUUCUGCCUCACUCCUCAUGCUUUUCCCAAAUGUGCUUGAUUAGGUGACAAUAUAUAAUUACUGGCAAACUAGUUAAAUUGCUUUAUAAGUGUCCAAAAUUCCCUCAUUUCAUUGCUUUCAUUUAUCAGUCCCUAUUGUACAGCCACAGUUCUAUAUAAACACAAAUGAUUGUUAAUGAAUGCCUAAUGCCAUAUUCAUUAGAAAAUUGGGUUAAUGGUUAGCAGUGAAUAUCUGAAGUCCUUGGUAGCUUCAAGUAUGUUUUCUCCCUUUGCUGGGUACAAUGCCUUAUUUUCUUUCUGAUGAUUUACCUGUCUCUUAUUCUCAUGCAGCCUAACUUUAAAAAAUUGGAAAUGAAGCCUUUGUUCCAAACCCUAUAAAUGCUUCCCUGCUGCAGGUGCUUAAGAAGAAGAAAAAGAAGACAGACAUCAGCAGCAGUAAUUUAUGAUUAGCAAAUACUUUGCAGAAUAAGAGGGUGGUUAAUGUUCAGAGUCCUUUUAUAGAAAAUAUUUUUACGUAAGGACUCAAAAACCUGACAAAGACUGUUAAAUAUGCUAGAUGUGCUUUCCUACUUUCUCUGGUGUCACCUUUUGGUGACAGAUGAGAAUGAAGUACAGUUUCUGCUAAAGCAUGAAGGUGUAACUUCACAUUAGUGUAGGCAGUAGCAGGCAUACACUGGUGUAAAUGGUCACAUUUGAAGAUUGCAAGGAUGUCUAAAGGGUAUUUUGCACACUAGGUAAAGGGUAAAGGGACCCCUGACCAGUAGGUCCAGUCGCAGACGACUCUGGGGUUGCGGUGCUCAUCUCGCUUUAUUGGCCGAGGGAGCAGGCGUACAGCUUCCGGGUCAUGUGGCCAGCAUGACUAAGCCGCUUCUGGCUAACCAGAGCAGUGCACAGAAAUGCCGUUUACCUACCUGCUGGAGCGGUACCUAUUUAUCUACUUUUGAUGUGCUUUCGAACUGCUAGGUUGGCAGGAGCAGGGACCAAGAAACGGGAGCUCACUCCGUCGUGGGGAUUCGAACCACCGACCUUCUGAUCAGCAAGCCCUGUGGUUUAACCCACAGCGCCACCCGCGUCCCAAUUUUGCACACUACACAAAGGCAAACCCAGUGUAAAUGAUCUUGACUUAGGUGUGAGCAGUGAGGUGGCUAAGUCUGCUGAUGGCACCAAAUUCUUUAAGGCAACAUGAAGCAAAUCAGAUAGCAUAGAAUGCUUAAAGGAUCUCUUCAAACAGGAUGAAUUGGCAGCAGCAUGUGGUAUGGUAAUUGAAAAGUGAUGCACAUUUGGACAAAAAAAUCUCUUAACCUAAUAUCAUGUAUUCAUAGAUAAAGUCUGAGCCAGUAGUAUCCAGGAAACCCAGAAGUGUGUUAUGGUGUGUGUGUUGCAGUGUGUGUGUGUUUCAAGAUGGUCAGGAUGUCAAAUAAUAACUUUAUUGGCUAUCAUAUUCAAUAUUGUGCUUGCUCAAAGUAUAACUGUGCUGUCAGUUCUCUUUUUUGCCUGAUCAUCCCUGGCCAAUCUUAGCAUGGGUCCAGCUCCCUCUGUCUCCCCCUUUCCAGGGUGCAUUGUGGUGACUGACCAGAAAAAAGAUCUCAAGGUGGUGGCUAGCUCAGUGAAAAUACGGGUCUGGAGCACUUCUAGUCUGUCAUUUUUGCCAUAAAGAAAAGAAGUGUUCUGUUCUCACAGAGCCAACAAGAUAACCAUGGGAAGCCCAUAAGCUGAGUGCAACAGCACUCUUCCACUUGUGCUCCUCAGUGACUGAUGUUGUAGAUGGGCUUGCUCCUAGGUGAGAGAUUGGAGCAACCUGGGGAGGCAGGAUGGAGUUAUCUUGGCUUCCAAGUGAGAGGCGGAGUGCUGAUAAGUUGUUUCUAUGGUGAGAGCAUGAAUGCAGCCCAGGAUUGCAUAUCCAGUGUAAUUUUGCUAUUUUAAAUUGCUUUGGUCAUUUUUGUAUUCAUAUGCUAUUCACUGCUUUGAGGUCAUUUGGGUAUAUAAAUCAUAUAACAGUAUAUAAAUCAUAACGUAACAUAUGGUUUGAAAUGCAGAGGGUUCUUUCCGUGUGAUCAGGAAUUCACCCUUUGUGUGCAGAUAGCCCUCUUACACACAUUUGCCUGAGUACAAGUUCUGUUGAUCUCAAUAGGGAUUACUUCCAGUUAGACAUGUAUAGGAUUGUACUAUGGAAAAAGCAGGCCUAAACCUUGUGGUACUAAAUGUUCUGCCCAUUGCUUAGUGAAAUAUCAAAUAGCUCCCAGAGCUGAAUCCUCUUGUUUGCUUUAUAUGUUUAUGAAUGUGAAAACAACCAUUGUUCCCUUGGGUUCAGGAGACACAGUGUGACAAAUUCUGAGAACUCUCAACCAAACUAUAAUCAAAACUGAAAUACAAACAAUCUGGCCACUCUUUUCUUGUCACUUUCAUCCACCCACCAAGCUGUGAUUUGAGAACUAGGGUUAUAUAUUAUAUAUACACUGUAAAGGAUGAAAGGCAAAUUACUGGGGUGGAAUGGGGAAGAAACUCUACCAACCAUUUGUUCAAUGUUUAGGAAAUUAUGUUCUCGAAGGCACAAAAUACAUACAUACUAUAAAAAAAAAAUGAGAGAAAAUUAUAGUAUCGGGUUAAAUAAGGUUACUUCAUAUCAUAUGAUUCAAGCAAAAUUGACAACAGGGAAUAAGAUACAAGGAGAAAUGGGGCAUAAUCUUCCCUCCAGGUAUAAGUGGAUCAAAUUCAUUUAUGUAACAAGAAGGUAAGAAGCAGUGCUUCCUACACAGUUCAUUCUCAUGUAAAGCAUUUUCAUCUCAGCCAGGCAGUCAAGGUUUGGGACAAUGAGCAGUUUAUGGCCAUUUUUUUUUUUUACAGAGUUAGAUGCAAUAUGAACAUCCAGUACUGCUCAGUCAGAUUCUUUAGACUUCAGUCCCUACAACUAAGCCAUUUAGACCUGUGGAUCCUUAUGGGGUUUCCUACCCAAUACAAUUCAAAGAAGAAGAAAGUAGGUAUUUCCCUCCCUCCUUUCCCACUUUACGCUAGCUGAAAAAAAUGGAUUAUAAGGAUAUUUAACAGUGCAAUGCUGUGUUCACUUAAGUUUACACCCUUUUGAUCACAGGCUUAAAUAUGUAAUAUAUACACUCAAAAAAGCUCAGUUGGUUGGAGCAUGGUGCUGAUAAUGCAAGUUUGAUCCCCGUAUGGGACAGCUGCAUAUUCCUGCAUUGCAGGGGACUAGAUGAUCCUCAGGGUCCCUUCCAACUCUAAAAUUCUAUGAUUCUAUGAAAAUACUUCUAAAAGAGAUAAUUACAAUAUCCCCAUAUGUAUCUCCCCACCACUCUAUGCAUACUUUGUAGGCCAUCUUGUUCAACCCCUGCAUAAUGUAAGAAAUUAUAGUUAAGAGUACCCCUAACGAAUGGCUGUCCAGCCUUUGCAACACUCCUCUAGAUAAUUGAUUCUAUUGUCAAACUGCUCUUACUGUCCUCAUGAAAAUUCAUCAGCAUUAUAGUAUGAAUUUCUGCCUCAUACUUUUGCCUAAUACUCAUAUGGUUGAGAAACAAUUCCUCCCCUGCAUUUUCAUUAAUGUAUGCAUUUCUUACGCACACUUUACCCUAGUAUAUGCAUUUUUGUACAUAUUACUGGAGGACUUAACUGGAAAAUUUGGAAGCAUGCAAAUUUGGAAGGAUUGCUGUGUUUCGGUUUUCAAGUUGUUUAGGAAAGUGCAAAUUAGGUAGACUUGCCUUUAAAUGCGAACUGAGCCAAGCAGCCUCAAUAGCAAGACAGAGCAUAAGACUCUUAAUAUCAGGGUCAUAGGUUCCAGCUUCACUUUGGGCAAAAGAUUCCUGCAUUGCAGGGGGUUGGACUAGAUUAUCCUUGUGGCCCCUUCUAACUCUACAAUUCUAUGAAAGAUUCUAUGAAAUUUCUCCCCAUCCCCAUCCUGCAUAUGAAAACUACAAUGCCAGGAAGAAAAGUCUAGACUGGGUUUUUAAUUCAAGCCAUGUGUACUUGGUACAACGAUUGGUGUGGUUGGCAUCACAGGAGCACUGAAUUGUACCUUUGUGGAAAAAAAGACUAUCACUAUUCUGUUUUAUAUUACUAUAGUCUCCAAAAGUAUCAAUUAAUCCUGGUUUGGGCUUGCCAUGAGGGAUGGUUAUAUGUUUAGUGACUGGACUUAACCGUCCAGGUGUUCUGGUUCUUUACUUUUACCUUAGUGAAACUACAGUUGCUUGAUUCCCAAAUUGCCUUGGAACUGGCUCACACCUUAACAUUUGAUUUAACACAUUCCAUUCAUGUUGUUUCCACCAAAGAAUCCUAAGAACUUUAGAUUGCCUUUCAUAGAGGUACAGUUCCCAGAACCCUUAAACUACAGUUCCCAUGAUACUUUGUGGGAAGCCAUACACUUUAAAUGCAUGGUGUAGAUGUAAUAGUGAAUGGCCCUAAACUAAUGAACAAAGUAUUUGAGUGUUAGCUGGUAAAGCUUAACAUGUUCAAGACACAUAAAUAGAAAAGAGAAGAGCAGUAUUGGACCAUGUCAUGGUUAAAGCAUUCUGAUGGAAUGACACCAAGUCUAUCCAGUUUGUCCAGUAAUCUCAGAUCACAAGAAGUUCCUGACACUAAACUAGAUGGGCCAUCUAUUCAUAUACUGGCUAACAGCAGCAAUCUAUGUUCUGAUGAUGGGAGAUGAUUGCCUGUAAAUGCAUUAGUUAAUUACUUUUAAUGGAUUACUUUAAAAGCAAAACAAUACACCCAGCUGUGUAAUUUUACAUAAUUUCUUAAAUUCCAUCAUACACAUUGUACAUACAUGUUUUUCCCCUCAAUCAAUUUUGUUUUUAUUGUGCAGAACAUUAAUUUAAAAAUUGUCCAGUAGCACCUUAGAGACCAACUAAGUUUGUUCUGGGUAUAAGCUUUCGUGUGCAUGCACACUUCUUCAGAUUCUUAAGGCUUUGUGACCUAGUGUAACCAGUUCAUGAUACUUAGUGGAUUAUUUACAGUGCAUUUUUUUUUCUGCAUCUAAAUGUGCUCUGCAGCCAGCCAGCAGAUGUCACUCACUUGUAGUUUCACAGCCUUCAGCCUCACCUGCAAAAUUAGCUGAUCAGUUCUGCAACAUGCUGUACUGUCUCAAGCAGCAUUUAACCGACCAACAAUUUGAACAAUUUGAACUUUUGUGCAAAAGUCACAGGAAGCAAAAUCCACCUGUACAAACUCCAAAGGAAACUUAAAUCACUUCCAUUUGAGUUUAUAAGUGUGAGAGCUGCAUGGUCCCAGGUUCAAUCUUUGGUAUCUCUAUUAGAUGGGCUCACAAUCUCAUAGCAGUGAUAUAAGUGAUAUAAAGAAGUGAUAAAAAGAGUGGGGAGGGGAGAGCAGCGACUCCUUCAGUGGCUAGGGCUGCAUCUGUCUCCCCCCUGCAAUGAUCAAGCCAGUGGUCCAUCUUAUCCAGAUGCCACAAGUAGGACCCAAGAACAAGAACACUCUGCCCUCCUGUGGUUCCCAGCAAGUAGUACAGUGGUACCUCGGGUUACAAACGCUUCAGGUUACAAACACUUUGGGUUACAGACUCCGCUAACCCGGAAGUAGUACCUCGGGUUGAGAACUUUGCCCCAGGAUGAGAACGGAAAUUGCGCGCUGGCAGUGUGGCGGCAGCGGGAGGCCCCAUAAGUGAAAGCACGCCUCAGGUUAAGAACGGUUUCAGGUUAAGAACGGAUCUCUGGAAUGAAUUAAGUUCAUAACCCAAGGUAUCACUGUAUUCAGAAGUAUUACUGCUUCUAACUAUGGAGGCAGUAGUAGCCAUGAUAACCUUCUCCUCCAUGACUUUUUUAGUCCUUUUAAAAAACCAUUUUGGUUACUGGCCAUCACUCCUUUCUGUGGAAGUGCAUUCCAUAGUUUGAUUGUAUGAAGAAGUACUUUCUCUUCUUAUGUGCUUACGACUCAUCAAAGUCAAGUAGGCAAAUUAAUAUUUCCAAGCCCGGUAUGAGAAUGUAGAGAAGGGCCCUUGCUCAUUCUAAUAUUGCUUCUGUUAUCAUCCUUUCCGUAGGCUGUAGUGGCUUUGAAGUUAGAGCCUGCCAUAGUUGUACAAGCAUGGCAGUGCCCAAGGUAUAGGCAAGGAAUACUUUCUGUGUGUAUGUGUGUGUUUGUUAGAGAGAGAGAGAGAGAGAGAUCUGUGCCAAAGUUCUUAGGUUGCCUGGUACUCAUUCAUGCCAUGAUAUAUUACUUGAAACAUUUAUGUGAAAUUUAUAUUCCCUCUCGAAAGGGAAGGCCACAUCUCCUGCAGCUCACUUGUGACAUUAGCACAAAUACUUUCUGAGACAGAUUACAGUAUUUUGGAUGCAUUACUCAUCAGUAAGCAUAAUUACCGAUGAAAAGGAGCAGGUGUUCAAACAUGCAGGGAGAGUAUCCUUGACACAGCAUUUAAUUCCCUUUAUUUGUACUUUUUAAAGACCACAGUUGAAGAAGUGCAAACAAUAAACCCUACAACAAUAGGAAGUGUUUGAUAAAAACAUAUGGGGACAUUAAUGCAUUUUUAGGUCAUGGUUUAUUGUUGGAUUACUAAGGAAGCUGGUUUUACUCAGAAAACUAUUGAUGAUAAUUGUGCCAAAAGCUUCUGCCUUCAAACAUGCCAGUGCCUAGCAUUGCCUCUUUCAUCUAGGGUUAGAUCCUUCCACUUUAAAAAAACCCUUCUUUUUUUGUUUAAAAGGGCGACUGAAAUGUAUAAAAUCAUUGAGGUGUGUGAGGGAGAUUACAAAGUUUAUGCUAAAUGAUAGAUUUGUUAGAUAAGAAAACAUGUUUGAUCUUUUUUUUAGUUCUUUGUUUCAACAAUAUUCUAAUAUUUGCUUAAAGAAGUGAACUUUGUUUCUACUGCUGCAAAGCACCCCCAGAAGUAUAGUACUUAUGCAUUUGAUGCAGACCUUCUCCAUGGGUGCACUAAACGCAUGGAGAUGCGGGAGAGUGGACUGAAUGUAUGCAUGCUCAGCACAACAUCUGCAACCUGGCGCCUACUUACACAGAGCUGUGCACACACAGGGGCUCCAUUCCAGUGGUGUUCAUGACCUAACAGGGGCUGCACUCAUGUGAAGCACCAAUGUAUGAACACUUCAUUAUUAUUGCAUUUAUACCCCACUGUUCCUGUUAUAAAUGUUCCUCUCCCCACUGCUUAUUUUAUCUUAACAAAUUUUUAAAAAACCCAGAAUAUUAGACUCCAUCCCCUCUGCCACAUUUUAGACAGAGGAAUACAGUGAUUUUUUAAUUUAUUUUUUUUGCUGGACAUCUUUAAAGUUGAUCUGGGGUGGGGGAAAUAACAUUGCCACCUUUUCCUAAACACACCCAGAGAAAAAAACAUGGUGUUCGAGAUACAUAAAAAUGGCCUAGUUCAGAUAGAGCAUGUGUCAACUCAAUAAGGUGAGGUAUGCACAUGCUUUGUGUUUGUUUGUUGCCCCUUCCUUCCUUGUUUCACAUGCUACAGCUGGUUUAAUCAAGCAUAGUUGUCCAUUACAUUUGAACCAGGUAACUAUGGCUAUCAGGAUCUGAAAUAAACUUCUGAUCAUUAUGUCAGAACCUCAUUUGUUCUGAAUGUGGUAGCUAAGGUUUCCUGGUUCUGAUGUAACAGGGAAUUAAGAUAAGAACCUGAGAAGAGGUCUGACUGGUUAGGCAAAAGGCCCAUCUAGUCCAUCAUCCUGAUCUUGCAGGGGCCAACUAGAUGCCUUUGGUAAGCCUGAAAGUCAGACCUAAGUGACACAGCUCUCCUUGCACUUGUAAUUCCCAGGAAUUGCUAUUCAGAGGCAUUCAGCCUAUGGCAGAACAUAGUCAUCAUGGCACAUAACUAUUGAAGGCUUUUAUCAUGGCACACCAAGAAGGAACAAAGGAAGUGGUGGUGUAGAUGGCACAAGGCUCGUGUUAUGUCUGAACUGGGUGGGCCAAUGUGUCUCAUAAUGUGGCAGGAGUAUCUUCUAGCAGGAAUGGGCGGAACUGCGUCUCCAUACACUCUGGAAAUAGAUUUACCUGAUGGUUUCUGGAUGGCCAGAAAUUUAAUCUGGAGUGGCUCUCAUGGGAUAGCUCAGUUAGUAGAGCAGCAAUGAUGCCAUCGCUAUUCUCCAAAUUCUGGAGCCAAAGAACACUGCCCUCCAUAUUGAUUGGCUUGAUGCUCACGAGAAGCUUAAAAGCAGGACAAAGAGACUGGAGUCCUCUCUUUUAGCAUGUCCUGCAUAUUGGCGCCCAGGGGUAUACUACCUCUGAACUGAAGGAAGAUUCAUUCAGCUGUUGUGGUUAGGAGUGGUUGAUAGACUUACUGUUCUGUAUGAACCAUGGAAAUAAACAAGCAGAUGAUUUAUUAUCUUUUUCUGACCUAGUACCAAAAUUGCUAUUAAAUUCUAACCAUGAUGAAGUCAAAAGGAGCUGAAAAGGAGUUCAGCAUCAUACAGAAUUUUCUCUCUGAAAGGCCGUUUCCAUUCAGCUGCAGCUAUCGUUCUAGUCCAAUAAGAGUUGUGUUGUUCCAGUCCAUAUGACAAUAUGGUUCUGAGUGUAGCUUUUGUGCACUGACAAAAAUGCAACUUUGCAUGUGAACUUGACAUGUUUAACUUCUUGGCCUUUUUUGAAAUUAUACUCUGACAUUAAGUUUUACUUUUUGUGGCUAAUGAAAUUACCAGGAGGGAACAACCCCAUGUAAAUAACAAAAUCCUAUAAUUCUUCUUUGGCCAUUGUGUUCUUUUUUUGCUAUUCAUAGUGUUGAGGGCCAUAGAUACUAGAUAUACUUACGUAAGACUUAACGAACAGUAAUUAUCUUUUGGCGAAAGAGAAAGCCCAAACAAAUGCUAAACUGCAUUAUCGUUUGGCUUCUGACAUGAGCUGAUAAUCAGAUUUUCUUGCUUAAAUCCACGGUGCUUGAACAAUGCUACCCACUGUCUGUCCUUCCCGAUAUUACCCUAAUUAGAAAGAACAGAAACACAAAUCUGAAUUAUUUCAAAAUCUGGUUUCCAUGGUCAAUGGUUUGAUGGGUUUAACUUUAUUACAAAUAAACCUGGUUUUAUAGACUAAUGAAAUCUGAAAUGCUAGAGAAAAGAUAGAUGCUACAGUACCAGAAUGGCGUUUAUCCAGUGAACUAUCUAGUAUGGGCAAAGUGUUUUGCAAUAAAUAAUUAAGUAAUUGAUUUAUGAUUGCUUACUCCAAGCCCCAUAUAAACAGAAGGAUACAAGGAUGAUCAGAAACUGUGAAACUAGGCUACCAUACUUUAGGUUAAACUUUAGAUGUAAUAGGUUAUUAUCAGCAUUGUUAUCAUGAUUACAAGGUUUUUCAUUUAUUUUAAGGUACUGUCACAGGGUCAAGUGUCUUGCAUAUAUCCAUGGUGCUUCUAUGAUAGCCACUUUCUCCAGUGUUAAAUGUUUUGAUGUGUCUGAUUUCAGAUGUUUUUAAUUUUUGCUGGUUACAUCAGCAGGCUGUUUCUUCUGCCUGGCAAAUCACAAAAGGGCAAAUUCUGAAUCAGGGCAGAAGAAACCUUCUGGAAAUCCUAGCAGGCUUAAAGUCAGUAACAGCUAGUUUAGAUAUAAUUUUAAACCUUAGGUAAGCUUGGUGCUGUUUUUCUAGGAAAAAGAGGUGCUGGAACUCACCAUAAACGCCUCCCUUGUUCUCUUAUAAUGGUAAUGGCACCCACCUGAGAGGUGCUGGAACUGAGUUCCAGUGAGUUCUGGCUUUAAAAAGGCCCUGGACUGUAAUCUUAGCUAUGGUUUAUAGGUGAAUGUGCAGCAUGCUGGUGCACAGGGCUUUGCUUAAAUUGUGGCUGCUUUCCUCCACACCUGCUCCUAUUGUUGCCAGGUGGCAUGCCCCAAUGAGUCCUCUCAGGGGUUAGGAUCCCAUCCCAGGGAGGCAGAAGCCUUCUAUCCAAAGCAUAAACAUGCAUUUGUGAUGCUGGCAUAGCAGUGUCCAAAACAAGUGAAGUUAAAGCAUCCUGUGGGUUCACCUUCAAAUGAUAGUAAAGCUAAACGCGGUUUAAAGCAAUGCACAAAUAAGGCCCUUGUUUCCUUGCAAGACCUGAGACAUCCUUACAUUUGUAGGGUAGGUAGUUUAAAAAAAAAAUAUUAGUCUAACCAGGCUGUUUAAGAAGCUAGGGCCACUUUGGCAACAAGGAACAGAAAGUACCUGUUGGUGGUGGAGAGUAUAGCCACCUCCCACCUUUUCCUAAGUCCCUCUCCCAUCUUUUCCAGAUCCAGGAGCUGCCUCUUAUAUUUGUUCUUUUUUUAAAAAAAAGAGUAGUGGCUCAGAAGCACAAGUGAUCUCACAGGAGUUGAACAGAAUUGACGUCCACGCUGUCUGUGGGCUGUUGUCCAGCCCUCCCCUAUAGCCUGUGGGUUAACUUACUUAUCUACUCUGAAGCACCUUGUUCACUUCCAAGCUCUGCCUGCUGCACAGUCUGGCCCAGAUUGCUGGUUAAUCUAUGAGAGCUGAUGUGCUUCUGAAUGGCAACACUGCCUUAGGGCCUUGGCCUUCUGCUUUUAUGCAGGGCCAUUGUUCUCUGAUUCUAAUUUCAGGACUUCAGCAUUAACCAAUAUUCUUGUUAAUGAACCAAUACAUUACCUAGGAUAUUUCCCAGGUACAUAUUGAUUGCUUACCUUGCCACGUGAUGUUUCAUGAAAACUAAAUUGAAAUUCUGUGUGCACCCAUCACACAGAGUUAACAUAAUAACUCUUAAAUGAGAGCGCAGUCGACGUUGGCUAACUGCAGCAGUUUUCAGUUCAAUUGUAGGUAUGCUUUUUGAGAAAGGGAGAGAGAGUAAUAAAGCAAUUUAAUUUUCUUUUUUAGAAAAAAUAUAUGCAAGCUAUAACAUAUAUAAUUGAGAUUGAUUUUUGUAUGUAGUAAGAUCUCUGGGAUGGCAGCCACUGUUUUGCCACGGAGGGUACUCAAGGAGCAAUCAUCUUAAUGAAACUUUUGCUUGCUGUUUUAAAAGUAUUUUCACUUAUACUUUAGUCGGGGUGGUUAUCUUUCAUGAUUACUCAGUUUUUCUUCUAUCCAUCUCACUUUCUUUAGAUAAAGAUGGCUUGGGCCAGGAGAAUCCAAAACAAAAAAGGCAAUUGAUAUGAAUUUUUUAAUGGCCCCCAUCCUUUUGAAUCUGGUUCUAGCUUUUUUGUUUUUUUCUUUUACAGUUAGUAUUACCAGGUUGCAAGUGGAAGGUCCUGUGCUGAACUUUUAAAUUCUACAAGGCAGCAUGAGAUGAGGUUGCCAGGGCUGGCUCCAGGUUUGUGGAGGCUCUUAGCAGCCCUCGGCAUGGUGUCUUGAGGAGCCCCAUUUCAGCCCCUCCCUUUCUAAUAUUUCCACCAUAAGAACAGAAGAAAAACCUUGCUGGAUCAGCCCAAAGGUCCAUCUAGUCCAACAUCCUGCUUUUUGCAGUUACCAGUCACAUGCCUAUGGAAGACCUGAGUGCGGCAGUGCUCUCCCCACCUACAAUUUCCAGCAACCGAUGUUCAGAGGCAUAGAGCCUCUGACAAGCAGAGGUAAAACAUAGCUACCAUGUCUAGUAGCCACUGAUAUCCUAACCCUCUUUUUAAAGCCAUCCAAGUUGAUGGUCAUUCAUUCAGUUUAUGCACUGGGUAUAGAAGUUAUUGGUUUGUCUAUCCUGAAUCUUCCAACGUUCAGUCUCAUUGAAUGUCCCUAAAUUUUAAUUUCAUGAGAAAUGAAAAAAAAGUUUUCCCUACCCACUUUCUCCAUGAUGUGCAUAAGUUUCUACUUAUGUUAUAACCUUUCCUUAUGGGGGAGUUGUUCCAGCCCCUUGAUCAUUUGGUCGCUUUUAAAAAGUCUUUCCCAGCAGUACAAUACCAUUUUUGAGAUGUGUUAGAAAUAUGUGCACUAUUCAGAAUGUGGUCGCACCACGGAUUUGUAUAAAUGGCAUUAUGAUAUUGUCAGUUUUAUUUUCAUCCCUUGCCUAUUGGUCCCUGCCAGUGUAUUCACCCUUUUCACAGCUGCUGCACAUCUUCAGCAAGCCAACCACUACAACCUAAAGGUCUUAGUCACCACUAGUUAAGACCCUAUAAGCAUAUAUGCAAAUUUAAGAUUAUUAUUUUUUUGCCCCAAUGUGCAUCACUAGAUUUAUUUAUUAAAUCAUUUUCUAUUCUGCUUAAUUUCCAUUGUCUUGAAGCGGUUCACAGGUUGCUCAGUAGAAGAAAGAUAACCUUGCUCACAUUAAUUUGCUUACAAGUUAAACUUGCUUACAAUAAAGGGAAAGAUCACACUUCCUUACAUUGAAUUGCAUUUGCCAUUUAACUGCCCAUUCAUCCAGUAAUGUGGUCUGGGUAACUGGACAUACAGGGAGGAGGACCGUGGUAGUAGAGGAAGUGGCACUCCUCCUCUGAGUGCUGGGUGACUAACACUGUAAUUCCCCAUGAUCCCUUGCGGAAUUGUAUUCAAUGCCUCCAGGGCAUUUUAUUCAAUUACAUCAUCAACCAUUUGGUGCUCACUGAAGCAUGAGUAAAGGAGGCCCAGAUGACUGGCAUUGGCAGUAGUGGGACUUUGGCAGUUUCCUAAGAUACUCACCCGCAACUCAGACAGGCGCUCCAAUAGGAUAUCAUGGUUGAUGGCAUCCUGAGGGAUAGCUCAGUUGGUAGAGCAUGAGACUCUUAAUCUCAGGGUUGUGGGCUUGAGUCCCAUGUUGAGUGAAAUAUUCUUGCACUGCAAGGGGUUGAACUAUAUAAUUCUUGUGGGCAUUUCCAACUCUACAGUUCUAUGAUGCAUUGCCUACUUACGCCAGCUGUAAAGGCAGACAUGGCUUCUCCACAGUGUUCUGCUUGUCACACCACACAGCUGAGGGAUGAAAGAACAGGAACAGGGGAAAGAGAGUGAGGGAGAAGUCACAACUGCUUCAUCUCUCACUUCAUUAGGACAUCUCUGGCUGCUGGAACCUUGCAGUCCUGGAAGCUUCCAGGAGGUGGCUACACAUGUGUACAUAUGUGUGUAGGCUGGUGAAUGUCAUUGUCUCCUUAAAAAAAAUUGAAUGAACUCUACCUCUUCAACCUACAUUGAUAAUUUAAAAAAACAAUCCAGGAAGCCACAAUGAUCUUGGCAAACAAAAAACUGAACAGUACGGGUGCCUGAAGUGUGCGUAGGCCCAAAGUAAACACUACUUCAGAAAGGAAAUCUAAAGAUGGCAUCUUUCAUGCUGAGAAAUUUAUUUCUCUUCAAUAUUUGCUAUGUGAAACUGAUAGUGUAUAAUGCCACUUGGCUUUAUUUUCUGACAAAAGGAGGUAGCUUGUGGUAACAAGCAGAUGCUUAAGUUGUCCAUGCAGUAUGAGGUACAGUAUACCGUUGGCCAAGAAGAUCAAUAUUUACUGUUCUGGUGGUGAGGAAGUCUGCCUUGUUGAAAGAGGUUGAUGAGUAGCAUGUAAAGCCUUGUUUUUAGUUCAUCUAUAAUGGAAAAAGAAUAAUUAAAGGCAUAUCUCAUUACAAUGAUUUUUUAAAAUAAAAAACUCACCUUUUAAGAUAUAAUGGGAGGAAUUAAAUGUCGCACUGUGUCAAUUGUUCUGACAGGGCAAGCAUUUCAGCUUGUCAGACAGAACAAUCUUCCUUCUCCUUCCCUUAUAUGCUGUUUUGGGGGAUCUUUGGACACUUCUGUGCCAAUGGCAGAGGGUUCUGUGUCCCUGUUACUUCUUGACCUCACAGUGGCUUUUGAUACCAUCAACCAUGGGAAAGUCCCAUGGUGCAAGCAAAAGUCCUUGGAUGGGCUUCCGCAGCUGGGACUCAUUAGUUGAAUCACACCCAUUUUUAAAUUUCUUUUUGUACAUUGCUGUAUCAUGGCAUGUUGCAAAACAUUAUUAGCCUCCCAAGAAAAUUCAAAGCAGAUUAUCAGUAAUGGAGCAGAUACAAUGAAAUUCAAAACAGGGGUGGGUGGAUCGCCUGAAUUUAGCCUGUACUACUAUAGCACAGUUUACUCAUAAUAUCAUUCAGUUUUUCCAUAUUAAUCUGUGAUUUUUUAAAAGACUUCUUAUAAUGUGUAUUUAAAAGCUACUUGCUUCCAAAUACAUACUGAAAUACAUAUUUUAUGAUGUGUAAACUGUUGAAAACUAUUUUUGCAACAUUUAGAGAAGUUAGGCAUCCUGCGGGCCAGGGAGGUGCCUUCCUGCAAGAGAGAAUGGUCCCUGCCUGCUUGAAGGAGGCAGUGGUAACACCAUUCCUCAAGAAACCCUCCCUGGAUUUGGAAAAUCUAAGUAACUACCAGCCAGUUGCCAAUCUCCCCUUCCUGGGCAAGGUUCUUGAGCGGGUGAUCACGAAUCAGAUCCAGGCACUAUUGGAAGAAACUGAUUUUCUAGAUCCAUUUCAGUUGGGGUUUAGGCCCAGUUUUGGCAGAGAAACGGCUUUGGUCACUUUGUAUGAUGACCUCUGUUGGGAAAGAGACAGAGGGAAUGUGUCCCUGUUAAUUCUUGAGCUCACAGCAGCUUUUGAUACCAUCAACCAUGGUGUACUUCUGGAGCAGCUGUCUGAGUUAGGGGUGGGUGGGACCGCCUUGCGGUAGUUCCAGUCCUACUUGGAUAGAUGUUUCCAGAAGGUGAUGCUCGGAGAGUUCUUUGGCCUCUUGGAAUCUUCAAUAUGGAGUUCCUCAGGGCCUGUUUUUAUUCCCUUGCUGUUUAACAUCUACAUGAAAUCAUUGAGUGGGGGUAUCCGGAGGUCUGGAGAGCGUUGUCAGCAAUAUGCGGAUGACACACAACUCUAUUUCUCCUUCACAUCUGCAGGUGUGCUGGACCAUUGUCUUGUCUCAGUAAUGGACUGGAUGAGAGCCAACAAACUGAAACUCAGUCCAGAUAAGACUGAGGCACUUUUAGUGGGUGGUUCCCUAGACCGGAUGGAUGGGAGGUUGCCUGCUGUUGAUGGGAUUACACUCCAUCUGAAGAACCUUAGGGGUGCUUCUGGCAGCCACACCCUUAUUUGAACAGGGAUAGCCUUACCAAUUGUUACUACUGGUGGUGGGAAGGGGUUGUUUGAUUUUGGUCUUCUUGUUUUUAUUAUGUGUCUUGUGUUUUUAUCUUGUAUUUUUAUGCUGUGAACCACUCUGAGAUCUAUGGAUGAAUGGCGGUAUACAAAUUUAAUAAAUAACAAUAAGAAACAGUCCUAUAUCUAUCUGUUCAGAAGUACCAGUAAGUUCCGUUGAGUUCAAUGAGACUCACUCCUAGCCCCAUGUAUAGGAUUGCAGUCUUAAAGAGAGUGUAAAUGGUACAAAUGCAUUGGAUAGGUCAUCAUAGUGCAAGAGAAAGGGAUUUAAGAUACAUACAUGUACAUACAUACUGUUUUAUUUGAAUGCCACCUUUCCUUAGUUCAAACCAUGCUCAAGGCAGCUAACAACAUGAACAAAUACAUAAUUACAACAUUACAAAAGUAGUCAAAAACAAUAAAUGAAACAUCAAAAAAUACACAACCCAAAUUGAACAAUUUCUACAUAGAUCAUAAGAUCUAAAAUAAAGAUAAAAAUCAAUAUCAAUAACAGCAACAACUCCCCUCCAAGAACCCCCCAAUACCCCAGCCCAAACAUCUGUUCAACAACCAUAGCUUUUGUAGCACGAGUCAGUCAGUCAGCCCCACCUUCCCAGGCCAGGUCAAAAAAGGUCUGCAAAGCAGGAAACAGAUCUUCCAAGACUCAAUCAAGUUAAGUUAGGUGGCAGAUAAAAUAUAUUAGGGCUGUGCCCCAAAUAAGUUUUUCCCAUAUAUGUUUUUUAAUAGCACAAUUAAUAUAAUAACACCCCCAUAAAGAUAUGGAGCAUUUCCCAAGGCCUCAACACACUGUUCCAAAUACUUUGCAUUAUUUUUGGAAUAAUCGGUGAACGUGCUGAUUGGUUUAAUGUGCAUUAUUGGGAUUGUUCUUCUUUGUAUGUUUAAUACAUAAAAGUUUCAUUGGCUAACAAACAAGUUAUGCAGAACUUCCUGAAUGCUGCAGCUUGACAUUCAGGGCCAUGACAAUACCUUUGGGUUGUUAGAACUCAGCAGGAGGUGUUAUAGUGCGCUGCCUUAAAUGGAAUCAGACUGUUGGUCCAUCAUGCUCAGUAUUGUCUACACUGACUGGCAGUAGCUCUGCAGGGUUUCAGAAGGAUUCUUUCUCCCCCUACCUGGAGAUGCCAAGGAUUGAACCUGGGACCUUUCGCAUGCAAAGCAUUUGCUCUACCACUGAGCUAUUAACUGUCUCUGAAAAGCAGAAGGUCCAGUUUGUUCAUUGCUUCCAAUCUGGGGUCAAAUAUUUACUCAGCAAGGAGUAAGACAUUUUCUCUGCUGUCUUCAGCUUCAAAGGAGGAUCAGUGCCAGGCCAAAAGGAAAGUACAAUGGGAAUUUUUCUCUAUAUACUAAAGGCUAUAGUUUAUCUCAGAGUGAUUGCCGAGAAGAGGCUCUGGUUCAUAGUGGGAAGCCCUUUCUGUGUAAGAGGCUUACAUUUAGGAAAGCUUACACAUAUUGCACACUGUGACAAUAAUGCAACUUUACAAGUGGCUGACAAAAUAUAUGGUGUGUACCCUAAACAUAUUUAAAUCUGCUAUCGGUAACAACUGUAAAGCAUCAGAAGUAUAUGUAGUCUGUACACCAUGAGAAUCAGAGAAGAGCAGGAUUGUUGAAUACCACACUGUUUGGGUUUGGGGACCCCCCCCCCCAAUUUUCAGGAACAGCUAGAGACACUAACCAUGGUGUCUAUGCUGUGCUCCCAUGGCUGGAGGAAGUAAUGCUUUUGAAUACCAGUUUCAGGAAAACUCAGGAGGGGAGAGUGAUUUUGUGCUUGGGUCCUGCUUGCACGUUUCCCAUAGGCAUCUGGGUGGCCAGAGAACAGGAUGCUGGACUAGGUGGGCCACUGGAACUUCUUAUAUUCAGUGUACUUAGCACAAUGUGUAAGAAUGGUGGUGUUGGUAUAAAUGGUGGUAGUGGUAGGGAACAUCUAUCUUCCUGUGUGUGUAGUGCUGUAUAUUAGGGGUAGAUAGAUCAUGUAUCUAGUCGUUAUGAUUGAGCUAGAUUUCUGAAAUCAGGGACAAGAAUACUACAUCAAACAUUAGUGGUCUUGAGUGGUCAUUUACCAUGUGAGUUGCACUUUGAGGAGAAGCUGUAGCACAGUUGUAGAGGGUAUGCUUUGCAUGCAGAAAGGAUCAGUUCCCACAUCUCCUAGAAAAGGAUCUUGGGUAAUAGAGCUUGGAGAGCUUUGUGACUGAGUAGUUAGAGGGCUGCUAGGCUAGAUGGACCAAUGCCCUGACUCUGAAUAAGGCAACUUCUCAUAUUUGUUCAUGUUCCAAGCUUAGCAACAUCUUUACAAGGGCUGGGUGGGGAACCUGCAGGUGUGUCUGGGCCAAUGGUCAGGAACAAUGGAAGCUGGGAUCCAACAACUUCUGGAGGGUUACAGGUUCUCCAUCUCUGAUUCCUCAGCACUCAUCCUGCAUUGCAAAUUAGAUUGUAUGUGCCUUGUGGGAAGGUAGCUGUCCUUUGCUUUUGCUGUUUAGAAGGCACUUUGUGAAUAAUACGUAGUAAUAUGUUCUCUAUUCCUGCCGAAAUCAAGAAGACUGACCAUUCCAGUGUUAUAGCUAAAUGGGUACUUUGCAUUUUUCUCAAUAAAAAAAAGGUAAAAGGCCCCUGACUGUUAAGUCCAGUUGCGAACAACUCUGGGGUUGUGGCGCUCAUCGCGCUUUACUGGCCGAGGGAGCCGACGUUUGUCCGCAGACAGUUUUUCCGGGUCAUGUGGCCAGCAAGACUAAGCUGCUUCUGACGAACCAGAGCAGCGCACGAAAACGCCGUUUACUUUCCCGCUGGAGCGGUACCUAUUUAUCUACUUGCACUUUGACGUGCUUUCGAACUGCUAGGUUGGCAGGAGCAGGGACCGAACAACAGGAGCUCACCCCGUUGCGGGGAUUCGAACCGCCGACCUUCUGACCGGCAAGCCCAAGGCUCAGUGGUUUACACCACAGCACCACCUGCGUCCCAUUUCCCCCCCUCAAUAGGGAUCACUUAAUUGUGCUCUUAAAGUGGUAUUCAUCUUUAAGGGCUUUGUUGUGUGAUAGACUAGUGAAAACAAUGCUUUGCCUGACUCCUGACUUUUUCCUGCCAAAGACACAUCUCGUGGGUACAUUCAUACGUAUCUUUUUCUUUCUUUGUCCUUACUUCCAUGGUUACUUGAGCAUUAAUUACCGCAUAUACUCGUGUAUAAGCCGACUUUUUCAGCACAUUUUUUAUGCCGAAAAAGCCCCACUCGGCUUAUACUCGAGUGAGGGUCCCACUUACUGUUUGCUGCUGCCACGUGCUACCGCCGCUCUGCCAAGUGCGGCUCCUGUGCCUGCCCUUGCGAGCAACAGAGGCUGUUGUUGGCGGAGGAGGAGGAACGAGCAGCCCGAAAGCAGCCCUUUUGGGCUGCUCCUUCCUCCUCCUCCGCCUUUGCCACUGUUGGCAUUUCCCACCCUAGGCUUAUACUCGAGUCAAUAAGUUUUCCCAGUUUUUUGUGGUAAAAUUUGGUGCCUCGGCUUAUAUUCAAGUAUAUAUGGGUAGUUUACUUCUCCUGCAUCCUUAUGCGCCAUUCAGCAGUAGGUUUAGAUACUAUUGUCCCCUUCUGAUGCUCAGUUCAUUCUUCGAAAACUAGUUUAUGCUACAGCAUUUUUACCUGAAUAGGAUGCUAUACUUUACAGUACAGCUGCAAUGCAGGGUUAAGUGAGAAUCAAUAUUUUUUUCGACAUCAUUAUGGGGGCCUUUUGCUACACAGAGUUGGCCAGGCAAGGAAGACAUGAUUAUUUAUAAAUUUAUUUUAAAAGUUAUAUUCUACUCUUGAAUGGCCAACAGAGUGAUUACGAUAGAUUAAUAUCCCAACGGGCCUUUUCAUCUUGGGGCCUCCCCCACCUCACCUUUCUCGAAGCGAAAACUUUUUGUUGUUGUUGCUUGGGGAGGGUGAACUGAAUUGGAAAGAGCAAGUAAGGUUUAUGAGCAUUCAGUUUAAAAGCCCACUUGGUUUUCAGGGACAGCUAGAAGGGCUCUUUAGUUUAAUUUGGAGAUCAAGGCUCAGUCACAGUGGUAAUGCCUGUCAACUUCCCUAGGAAAAAGGAACAUCCCAUUUUCCCCCACGAGAGGACAGUGGCCAAAAUGGCCUCUGCAAUCUCACACAAUUUUGGGGUAGCAAACUUGCGUGGUGCUGCAAAAUGUGAUUUUCCAUGCCAUGCCACCCAGAAGUGUUUUUUUGGGGGGGCCUUAAUCUCACACGGGUCACAUAACUUGCAUGGGAGUGUUGCCCUGGAAUAUUGCAUCCUGGUUUUGGGCCACUUCGUAUUGAAGGGCAUGAGUGAUGCAAGACAUUUAUGUCAUAUAUUGAAUUCAAAAUGAAUUAAAAGAGGUCCAGUUUUGGAUUAAGUGAAGUGGACCUGCUAGCAUUCAUGUGUGAAUACUGUCCUGUUAGAACAACCCAGUUUUUAUCUCUUUAAUUAUUAGAAGGUACUAAUUCUCCAAAUUUUAAAAGCAGCAACUAAUUAUUGUACACAAUCAUUGCUUGAUUACUGCACAGCGUCUGAUUUGUGAAGUCUGCACUCUCAAAGAAGGUGCAGCCAUUUCUCUUAAUCCUUUUGUUUUCUCAUAGUUUAGUUCUCAGGGAAUGAUGCAAAAUUCAAACUGCAGGCUUGAACCUCUGAAAUAAAAUUCUGGACGCAUCGUAUCUACGUGGGGCGGGAAGUAGGGCGGUUAUCAAAGUCCCCACGCUGCUGUAUUCCUAUAAAUGCUCCCUCUUUGUCCCUGCAAGUUUCUAAAGAAUUUUAAAAAAAGGCACAAAGCACAAAGCAGAGGAGGCACCGAGGAGUGAAUGCAACAGUAUUUCCUUAAUCCAUGUGGAUCAAAAACAUUAACGUUUCGAUUCUGUAAAGAAUCUUCCUCAGCAUGCUGGAUUAAUCACAUGGAUUAAUAAAACACUGUUGCAUUCACUCCCUGGUGCCUCCCCUGCUUUGUAUUUUUCUUUUAUUGUUAUGAUUUGGAGCUGUACUUGAACAAAAGAGAGGGCAUUUAUAUGAGUAUCGUAGGCACUGAGACUUAGAGAAAUCUCCUCCAGUAAGUUAUGCUUCCUGCAUUUUGCGGCAUUUUCGAGUCAGUUAGAUUUUUAUUUAGACUGUGGUAAAAGGUUUCACGUUGUUUCAAGUAUUUGCAAUGAUUCCUUCAAAAACUGCGCAGAAUUCUACAGCUAAGAAUAUACUUGGAUUCUAUUCCUCAUUACUGAUUUAUUAUUUAUUUGUUUCAUAAAAUGUAUAUACCACUUGAUUGUUAAAAGAAACCUCCAAGUGGUUUACAAAAGAUAAACAAGUUAAAUCAAGAAAAAUCACAACCAUACUUAAAACAUACACAAGUUUAAAUACUAAAACAUUAACUUUCUAAGCAUCUGGGUAGAUUUGCCUAAACAAGAAUAUUUUUAGUGGGCACCAUAAAAAGUACAGUGAAGGUGCCUGCUUGGUCUCAAUAGGCAGGGAGUUUCAAAGUGUAAGCGCUGCCACACUAAAUGAGUUCUUACAAAUGCAGAACAGGUAUUAUGUGACACCUGUAGUUCUGCCAGUUCCACUGAUCGAUGCAGUUGAUUGGGCACAUGAGGGGUAAGGUGAUGUUGUAGGUAAACUGGUCCCAGGUUGGUAACAGCUUUAUAUACUAAUACUGAAACUUUGAACAAAUCAGCAAGCAGUGCAGAUCUCUGAGCACAGGUGUCAUAUGCUGACAAGGCCCCACUUCCUGUCAGCAAUUGUGCUGCAGCAUUAUGCACUAACUGCAGCUUCCUGAUCAAGCGCGAGGGAAUCCCUACAUAGAGUGCAUUGCAGUAAUCCAGUAUUGAAGUAACCAACGUAGGAACUACUGUGGCAAGGCAUUCCCACUCCAGGAAUUGCUGUAGUAUCAGAGCUGGAUCCAGAAGCACCCCCAAACUAAAAAUCUGCUCCUUAAGGGGGAAUGCAACCCAUCCCCCUAUCUUCAGUCCAUCCAUCAUAUCACCUGGGGCAAAGAGCACAUGAAGACUGUGCCCUGCCUGGUAUGUUGGACCAAUGACCAUCUGAGAGAGGCCUAUGGUUGUCAUGAAGGCCAUGAAAUCUUGAGCUGGUUUGUCAGCAGCCUCUGCGUCAAUAUUGAAGUCACCCAGGAUUAUAAUUUGAGGGUCUUCUAACAAUGCUUCAGAGAUCACCUUGGCCAGCCUGAUCAGGGAUGCUGCCAGGCAAUGGGGUGGUCACUAGAUCAGCAACAUCCCUGAUCUUUCUCUUUGACCCAACACCAUGUGCAGACCAUCUAAUUCAUUCUGAGAUCAAGGAGAUGGUGUCCAAAUGGACAAUAGCAGCACUCUGGAUACCCAAGGUGGACAUGUGCUUCGUUUAAAAUAAAAUACAAUCUAGAACCUUUUGUAAUCUUUGCAAUGUUUUUCUUCCUUUAUAGCAUUUCCUUAUGUCCAUCCUUCUUCUCUUGGCAUUUUCCUUAUAGCAGUAUAGUGACACAAUCCAUAUUAUAAAUGACAGCAAUGUGCAUGUCGGCCUCCUAGUAUUUUACAGGAUCCUUACCGUAUGCCUGCAAAACAUGGACCCCCUUAUAAACGCCAUCUCCAACUCCUCAAAAGAUUCCAUCAACAGUAUCUCUGAAAAAAUUGACACAUCACUUGGGAAGACAGGCGAACUAAUGUCAGUGUACUGAAAGAAGCAAAGGUCACCAGUGUUGAAGCAGUGAUUCUUCAACAUCAACUUUGUUGGACUGGUCAUGUUGUGCGGAUGCCAGGUUAUUGUCUUCCAAAGCAACUACUCUAUUCUGAACUUAAAAAUUGAAAGCGCAAUGAUGGUGGUCAACAAAAGAGGUUUAAAGACUCUCUCAAGGAAAAUCUAAAAUGUAGUAUAAACACCGACAACUGGGAAACACUGGCCUGCGAGUGCUCCAGUUGGAGAACAGCCUUUACCAAAGGUGUCAUGGACUUUGAAAACACUCAAAUUCUGGACGAUAGGGAGAAAUAUGCUAAGAGGAAGGCAGGCUUGGCAAACCCUUACUGUGACUCUUACCCGGAAACCAAUGUCCCCACUGUGGAAGGACAUGUGGAUCCAGAAUUGGCUUCCACAGUCACUUACGGACUCACUGUUAAAACCGUGUUCAUGGAAGACAAUCCUACUCGGCUACGAGUGAUCGCCAAAGAAUUUUACAGGAUGUGGCAGACUAUACCAGGGCAAGACAUUUUGAGGUGCCAUUAAAGGGCAGUACACAUUUGGCUGAAAUUUAUAAUAUGGAAGCUGUAUUUAUUUAUUUAAAGCAUUUUUGCCUCACUCUUCAGGCCAAAAGGUUUCCAGAGCAGCUUACAUAAGAUCAGUAAUGAAGAAGGGAGCGCCUGCCCUUAGGCAGGACACCAAAGGAAAAAGGAAAAUAAGCAAACUCCUACUCUUAAAGUUGCGGAGUUCUUAUAAAUGACCAGCUUGACAGGAAACAGUUCAGGAAGAGAAGGAGCUAAACAGACCUGGUCUCUUUCCAUCUGCUAUAGACAUAGCAUAAAGGUGUCUGUUGAAGCUGGUCUUUCAGCGGAGCUGAUGGAGUGGCUCAUGCAGUCCUAUAUGCAGUCUGUAGUAUAGCCUGACUCAGGGUUUCCCAAAUUGGGUAGCCAGCUGUAGUUGGACUACAACACCCAUCAUCCCUAGCCAGCAGGACCAGUGGUCAGGGUUGAUGGGAAUUUUAGUUCAACCACAGCUGGAGACCCAAGUUGGGGAAACCCUGGCCUGACUUAAUGCAUCAUCAUCAUCAUUAGCUACAGCCCCCUGCCUGCUGCCAUUUUUCUCCUGGCUCUACAUAAACUUGAUUGGGACAAAUUAUUAACAUCCAUGAAAGAAUGAAUUGCAGGUGUAUAUAAUAGACAGCUUGGGAAAGAUCAACUUGCCACUGAAGUUUCUCCGAUUUCCCCUUUAGGGAGUGUGUGUUCAUUUUGAAAACAAAAAGAAGAAGAAGAGUUUGGAUUUGAUAUCCCGCCUUUCACUCCCUUUAAGGAGUCUCAAAGCGGCUAACAUUCUCCUUUCCCUUCCUCCCCCACAACAAACACUCUGUGAGGUGAGUGGGGCUGAGAGACUUCAAAGAAGUGUGACUGGCCCAAGGUCACCCAGCAGCUGCAUGUGGAGGAGCGGAGACGCGAACCCGGUUCCCCAGAUUACGAGACUACCGCUCUUAACCACUACGCAAAUUAAACAAAACAACACAAACAAACUUUGCUUGUUUUGUUUUAGUUAUAGAAACGGAUGGGAAUUCAAAUGAAUGACUUCUGAUUCUGAAUGAGAAUCCUUUCCCCCCCAUUUGGUCUAGUUAGAGCCCUGCUAGAACACAUCAGCGAAGUGUUACAAAGAAGGAGGAGAAUCAGAAUCAGAUGGCAAUCAAUAAAAUGAAUGUACUAGCUAGGAAUCAUUUAUGAAUAUGAAUGAAAUGCAAACGAAUAAGUAACAAAAUAAAUGACACUUUUAAGAAUGAAAACAAAUGGAGGAGGUAAAUGAUUCCCCCCCCCCCCGCGCGCUGAUAAUGGCUUGAUGUGAGAAUCUUGGCAUUGCAGAGGAUUUGAUGUGAUUGUCUAUAUAGCUUUUUAAAAACUCUCUGGUGAUAGCCAGCACGGGAUGCCUUCCUGUAACUUGACUUCAGUUUUAAUAAGGAAAUGUGACAUAUCGUUUAUUGAAAUCUCACAUGUGAUGUGCUGUCUAGAUUAGAGCCAACAAUACCUUCAUAUAGAAGAGGAUGGCAGUUGCAAUUUCCUCCCUUACAUGCAAAUUAGCAUUAGCCCUAAAAUCCCUGGCAGAAUGCCAGGGUUGCCUUCUCUGGCAACAGUUUCACUUCAGCCCUUUUCUCCAUCAAAGACCCUUUUCCAUUAAUCAAAUGGGUCCAGCAUUUUACAGAGAAAGAUGAGAUCUUGAUUUGUAUUGGAGGCAGGUCUAAACUUGCAUUGACUUUAACCAAGGCAGAAUUUGGCCCUUUGAUAUGUGUGUGUGUGUUUGUGUGUGUGUGUGUGUGUGUGUGUGUUUUAAAGACUUAUUUUAUAAACAAAAUCAUAGUUUGGGUACCUAAAGCAAGCACUCAGCCAAGCUAUAAUAAACUACAAAUAAAAUAAUGUAAGAUAUUCCUGUUGCUCUCAAUGUAUCGUUAUGGCUUCACAAAUGCUAUUAACAUGCAGGUCAUGAAUUAUUGUAUGCCUGUCUCUAUGAGCCUUUUAAAAAUCACUCAACUACAUAAUGACUUUGAAAUAUAUUCUUUUUGAAAUGGAAAAUGAAAAACCUUUUUGCAUUUUUUAAAAGAUAUUGAUAGCUAUUCAAGAAAGGCCUUAGGAAUGUCUUAAUAUCAUGCUUUGUAGAGAUCUUUUUUGUUUACUACAUUCACUUGAUGAGAUUUUUUUACAUUUGAAUGGCAUUGUGUAUUGACUAGAUAGCACACAGUGGGAAUUUAGAAGAUUUUUUUCUGACACGUUUUCUAAAAUUAAUUUCAUUUCAAAACUCCCCAUUUUUUAUAUUCUCCGGAAGCAAAUGUUGAAAAGUAAUUUGUAGAGUGGUGGGAGGGCUGAAUAAUACAGUGCAGCCUCAUCCAGGGCUGGCCAAUUAUAUUUGCUGGUGAAAGGCAAGAUGGCAGCUCCUCCCUGCUUCACAUAUAGAAGCUGAAUGGAAUGGCAGUUGAAUUUUAUUUCAGCACUAGUGGCAGGAUAGCAUCCUUCAUUGCACCAGAAGCUGCUGACUAGUUUAGGGCCACAAGCUAGAGACUAUGCGAGAUAUAUAGAGAGAGUGAACUCUGUACUCUAACCAGUGGUGGAUUUAUGGUCCAUUGGGCACAACCCUCCCCCCCUCUAACCAUUCACCUAUAUAGAACAUGAGUAUGUCUGAAAAUGGCCUGUAUUUUUGGCAUUUCCUUCACACACAAUUGUUGACUGAAGGUAAAAGUAAAGGGACCCCUGACCAUUAGGUCCAGUCGUGGACGACUCUGGGGUUGUGGCACUCAUCUUGCUUUACUGGCCGAGGGAGCUGGCAUACAGCUUCCGGGUCAUGUGGCCAGCAUGACUAUGCCGCUUCUGGUGAACCAGAGCAGCACACGGAAACGCCGUUUACCUUCCUGCCGGAGCUGUACCUAUUUAUCUACUUGCACUUUAAUGUGUAAUUCGAACUGCUAGGUUGGCAGGAGCUGGGACCGAACAACAGGAGCUCACCCUGUCGCAGGAAUUCGAACCGCAAGCCCUAGGCUUUGUGGUUUAACCCACAGCGCUACCCGCGUCCCUAAUUGUUUAUUAACUUGUCAUAAUUUAUGUACAUCUCGCAAUGCAGAACCUUCAAUCACUAAGGCUGCUGAACUCGCUAAAUUCUCUUGACCAUAUAUGGUAGAAUGCAAGUAGUUUUUUAUUCUUUUAAGGCUGUUGAAUAAACUUUCACCAGUUGCAUCAUAGCUUUAUUAGGGCGGUACAAAAUUCGGGCUUUGUGGUACAAAAUGGUACAAAAUCAAUACAAAACCUUGGCACCAGUUUGGAGGGGAUCCCAAAUUUUGUGGUUAAUAAAACUAUUUGAUAUGAGCAAUGUUUACAAAUGUUCAAGAAUUGCCUCUGUGUUAGGAAAUGUGGUGUGCAAACCACCAGUAACAAGCUCAUAAAGUGGAGUCUAAGAUAUUGGUGAUAUAAAGUCCUCACUUCACAAAAACACAGCAAGUUUCACUAUUUUAACAGAAUCUGUGUCCUCUGAAUACAUAUCCAUUAAUUUCUGGAUGCUGUCAUUUGUAUUUAGUAAGAUGAUUCCACAACAGUGAUUUCAGUCUGAAAUAUAAAUUCAUUGAGUUGUGCCCCCAAUUCUGCUCUGAAGGGCCAGGAGAAACUCUAGAACUUGCUAGACUGUAUAACAUACAAUAACGAUGAAGGAUAAUAGUAUUGACAAGUGGGACCCUCUGCACGAUAUUGCAGUGCAGAAUGUGUUCCUGUUCACUCUGCCAGCCAACCAGCCAUGCCAUUUUCCAGGAUCCUCAGUUUCACGGAAAGACAUUAUAUGAUGAUGUAGUGCUGCUGUGAUGAGGAGAGUUGAAGAUUUUGGCUGAGCAGUGCCACUGAUUGCCAGUUGUUGGCGAGCAACAGUGAGGAAGGGCUGUCCAGGCUUUGCUAGCGGACUUCCCAGAGGAAGUGUGAAUGAAGACGCUGGAUUCACGGAGCUUUGGUCUGAACCAGCAGGACUCUCCUUAUGCUUACACACCGUGUCUACUGGUUUCAACAUUUCUAGGCUACAGAAUGAUGCAGGCACAUCAACAGAGCCAGACUUUUUAAAAAGAAAAAAUAUAAUAGGGGUGGCUUUAGUAUUUCCCCCCCCCCCAAUCUCAAAAAUACAAUUAUUUUGGUACUCUCAGUCACUUGAUUAGGCUACGAGCUACUGCUGAAUAUUUUUUUUAAAAAAAACACCAAACUUUUGUUAAUGUACAGGCAUUCGUCAUCUGCUGUUCAUUAAUGCACAUAGGCCUGGCAAUGGAAUGAGCGUUUUUCUAGAGUGGGGUCGAAAAACUAAUUAUUCACCAUAUGGUGGCCGGCUCAGCAACAAUUGCUGAAGCCAUGGAAGCAAAAGGAAGUUGGCUGGCUGCUCUUUGAGCAGUUUGCACAGCGAUGACUCUCUUGACACAUGCCAUUCAUUUGGCUUCUGAAUAACAGAUGGACUAAGGCUGGGAAUUGUGGAAAAAUCAUGGCAGGGAUCUGGUGGCUGCCCUUGCCUUUUUAUCCUUCAGAAUGACUUUGGGUCACAUGGCCUGUGAAAAAUAACAAGCAGGGGAUUGUACUCCCAGGAUUUCCCUGCUUCUUUCAUAAAGCAGGGCGUAAUUGUGACUGCCUUUUCGUAUUUUGUUUAUUAAAGGGAUCAGGGGUUUUAGAUGAAAGAGAUUACUUGGUUUGUGGUUGGGGUGUGUGUGUGUUGGAUGUGUGUGUGGGGGUUGUGCUAUACCAGUGACACUCAGCUCAUUGUUAGAGGGGAAAAUGCUGGCAGUUUGAUAAGGGAUAAGAAAACAGAGGAGGUUUUAAAUUUAAAUUUAAAUUACUUGCUAUUUGUUCUCUUCCCGUUUGUAAAUUGCACAUAGGCAAGUUAAGAUAAGAGCUGUUUUAGAUUCAGAAUGUUCAAGCUGGGAGUGGGGGAGUGUACCCCCUUCCUGUUUUCCCCUCCCACCACCCACAAUAGAGUUUAAGAAGGAAGGGUAACAAUCACAGGACCAGAACAUCAUCUGCACUUGCAACUUGUAUGCUAUCUGGAUUUAACGUUGUUCUCAAGACUGACAAGUGUGGAAGAAGGAGAAAACUGCAAGGAAGAUUUUUUUCUGGACUUCUUGUUUCUGUAAAAGUGAAUCAGAUUAAUUCAGGCUAUUCAUGGAAAGUGAAUGAAAUUUUAGUUAAGUGCGGUUGACAGUGGUAAUAUGGGUUAAAAGAUUUUUAGUCCCACCCUUUCCAGACUAUCCUGAGCAAAAGGAAAACAAGCAUCCUUUUUUCCAUGUUAAGUGUAGUAUGAUCCACACCGUGAUCAACUCCCACCCGGAAAUCAAUGUCCCCACUGUGGAAGGACAUGUGGAUCCAGAAUUGGCCUCCACAGUCACCGCCGGACUCAUUGUUAAAACCGUGUUUAUGGAAGACAAUCUUACUCGGCUACGAGUGAUCACCAAAGAAGAAGAAAGAAGGACAAGUAGAUAUGGUGAUAUGAGCCAUGUGUCAGAAUCAGAGAUGUCAUGAGAAACUGGAAAAAAGCAACAGCAGAUGCCCCUCUUUGACUUCUUGCAAGUAGGUUUGUGUCUUCAAGCACCUGCCUCCACUACCACCAUUCCCUUCACCUGCCCACUCCAGGGCCUGUAGACUUUCCCUGGGGCAGUUUAGUUUGGAGAAAAGAUGAGUAAUAAGGAACAUGAUAGAGGUAUACAGAAUUAUGCAUGGUCUAGACAAAGAAACUAUAGAAAAGUUUUUCUCCCUCACUGUGAUGGCCUGGGAAUCAGAUUCAGAGGCUGAACCUGAGGAAUCCCAGCCUGCACAGGAGUCCCCGCCUCCAGGACCGGCUGAGCUUGAACCUGAAGGGCCCUCACCUGUGCUGGAUCUUCAGGAGCAGACACCAGCUGAAUCUGCUCUGGCUCUGGAGGUGAUCGAGGACUCAUUGCCUGCAGGUGCUCCACUCUCAGCCCUGUCAGGGGAAGGUGAGGUUGCCUCUGGGUCCAGUAACCCUCCAAGCCUCCCUGAGCUGCAGAGGCUCAGGGCGGAGAGGCGGAGGGAACUAAGUUCUCACAGGAGGAGUGCUCGCCCCCAGGCCAGGAGAGGCGAGUCACCUGUGGACUGGGGCCGCCCUAUGCCUCAGAGGAGAUAAAAGCCAGCCAGCCCAGUCCCAGGUUGCGGGAGCAACAUUGUUGGUAACCUGUUCCUGCCGGCACCCUGUCCUGCUCUUCUGCCAGAGUUCCUGACCUCACCCGACUCCUUGCCUUGGACCCCGCUUCAGCCUUGACGGACAGCCCCCAUACCACACCCUCGACCUCGGACUGGACUUGGACCACGCUGCACCAUAACCCCCCGGGACCAGCACACUCACUAAAAAUACUAGAACUUUGGGAAAGCCAAUGAAACCGAACAUUGGAAGAUUCAAGUCAAACAAAAGCUAGACAAUGGAAUUCACAUCAAAAGUAGUGACUGCCACCAAUGUGGAUGGCUUUAAAAGAGGAUUGGACAAACUCAUGAAGCUAUCAGUGGCUACUAGUCACCAUGACGGCUAUUUUCUGCCUCUGCUGUCAGAGGCAGUAUUCCUCUGAAUACCAGCUGCUGGGAAUCACAGGUGGGGAGAGUGCUGUUGCGUUCAGGUUGUGGGGUUCCUGGGUUUUUCUUGUGCUCUUGGAAGAAAGUGGAAGUGGCUGUUUACACUAUUCACAUUCAUUUCUCACCAGGGAAUGCGGGAUAUGAGUUCCCAGUCCCUUCUCCAUGCAGGAAUGGAUGGUGCAAGCAUCCACCACCCUGCUGUUUCUGUCUUUCCUUCUCCUUUAAAAAAACAAAUAAAUCAUUUUUAUUGAUUUUCCCAUAAAAAACAUCCAAUUAAAUAUCCAAUCAUAAUACUCCAAUUAGAAAAAUAAAAAACUAAAAUAAAAAGAUCACAUUAUAGUCCAAAUUGUAUUUAUUAAUUGUCUUUCCUUCUCCUGUCCUGAGAAAGUCUGUAAGCUCAUGUAGAGCACACACAAACACUUUCUGAGGUGAACACAGGGUUGCGUGAGUAUCCCUGGUCAGAAUUCUGGUGGCAUAAAUUUUCUAUAGGGGAAGGACUGGGAGAAUCGUGUGUGUGGUGCAAUUUCAAAUGCACCAUGAGCCGAUGUCCAUUGCCCCAGUUCAAGAAGGCUGUGAUUGAGAGUGAAGAAAGUGAAACUGUAUAGGAGCUGGAGGCUCUGCCUAUUCCUGGCUGGCAGCCAGGCCUUGAUCUGAGUAGGCAUUUACUCACAAUCCCUCUUUCCCAAACCUAGUAUAGUGCUUUGACAAUGUCACCCUUGUUCCUUGGUGGGAGGGCCACCAUUUUGAGGUGGUUCACCUCAGGUGGCAAAAGGUUUUGGGCCAUCCUUGAUUCCUGUGACUCUGGAGGUAAUGAAGAAGGGAUCCAGAACCUAGCUGACUAGUGGUAAAAACAUCUGGUCCUGGGGUGGCAAUGUCUGGUUCUUCUGACAGCUCCCUCUGGACCUCCAAGGAGAUCCCAGGUUCCAAGUAUGAGUGGGGCUGAAGCCUGACAGCAGUAGGUGCUCAGCUGUUCCUCCACCUGCAUUUAUUCUUCUGAGAUUUCAGCCACUGCCUGCUCCCUCACCAUGGGAGUUACUUCUGAUCUUGGAGCAACACUGAGAGAAAAAUGUCUAGGAAGAAGUGAGAUGGGGAACCAUCUUGCACCUGCAUUUUGAUAUCUCUGCACUCCCACCCCACUACAUUUCGAGGUGUGGAGAGAUCAUACUGCCAUAACUUCUAGUUCCCAAACUACUUUUUUAAAAUUGCCCAUGCCAUCUCUCUGUUAUAGCAAACUGCCAAUGACCUGAUUCUGACAAAUAGAUCUGUUGCUAAUGCUAUCAAAAUUCGCAAACCCCUUUCAUGAGGCCCACUGGCAUAUCUCUGCUAGGGGCUGUUAGACUCACUGAUACCUCCUCUCUCAUCAUCUCUGCUGAACCUUCUUUGAAUGACCUUUGAAUGGUGCAAAGCAGAACCAGUGAGAGGUGUGGCCUGGGGCAUGUUCCAAAGGCCAGAUAAGAGUACAUUUUUGUAAACUUUACACUGACUUUUCCAUUCCAAUAGCAUUAAUUGUUUCCCUUGUAAUUAAAAUAUGACUAUUGAAAUGUCUUUGUAUAGCCAGUUUCAGCCAUAUCUUUACAUCCCAUCUCCUAUGCCCAGGAAUACAAACAACAACAUUUAUUUGCAAUAACAAUCAGUAUCCUUGUUAUAUUUCUGUAUUUAUUCAUUUUUAUCCCACUCUUCAUCCGAUGAACUGAGGAUACGGCUCCUUACCCCAUUUUGUCCUCAUGACAACAUUGUGGGGUCUAUUAGUUUGAGAUUUAAUGUCCAGACCAAGAUCACCCAAUAUACUUCCUCUCUUUGUCGCUCAGUGGGGAUAUUUAAGUUUUAUACAAAUGUGUUGCAAGUGAGGGUGAUUUAACUACAUUAUUGCUUUCUUUAAAAGCUGGAUGUAUUUUGUCCUUUCUGCACCUUUAACAGAGGCAGCUGUCUUGUUCACACCAAGGAAUGGCUACUCAUGCUCAUACUCUGUGGGUGAUAUGCAACUAAAUUCUACUCAGAGUAGACCCACUGAGAUGAAUGAAAUGACUAAGUUAGGUCCCUUAACUGGGGAUACUCUGAAUAAAACUUAGUUGAAUAGCCUUGUUUUGUGCUUUUCAUUUACUACUCAAACUGGCAUGACAUUCUCUCUAUGUGUUUGCACAUAGUUGACUGCAUUGCUGAGGUUAGAUUUGCUGGAGUCCUUCCCUCUGGAUAGGGCAAAACUGCUUGGCCUAAUUAUGGCAGAUUAUUAAAUUAAUUUGAUAAUUGGACAGCAUAAUUAAAAGAACUCCCUACCAGCAAAAAGCAAGGAAUAGCUCCUUUGUCUUAAAGUUCACCCUCGGAACAAUUCGUUGCAGUUUCAAAGGGUGCCAGAGAGGAUUUUUAAAAGAGAGGAAAGAAAAUCAUUACUCAGAGAAGUGUAUUAUUCUCUCGUCAGCUGUCAGCUUUCAACACUUAUUUUGACAAUGGUUGUUUUUGACAGAAUUUGUAAGAUGCUUUUCCUCACCCUGGGCCUGAGAUAUGAUGAAUGUGCCAUACAGGUGACCUUUACCCAAGGCCACAUGUUAAUAUUCAGAAUGGUCCUUUUGUUAGUUUUGAACAAUGCCUGUCUUUUUUCUUUCUUUCUUUCUUUUAAAAAAGCUUGAUUUGCCAAUAUGACCCUCUGUUCGAAUGCUGGACCAUUCCAGAUUGGUCACCAGGAAGCAUCAAGUGCCUUUGACUGAAAUGACAUGGAAGAUGUAUGGUCGAAGUGCUGUAUGCAGCACCACUGCUGUGACACGAAGAAAACCACUUUGACCCAAAUAGAAGUGUACUCAAACAAUGUCGCACCAACCAAAGACAACAUAUUGGGAAGAAAAAUGCUUGUGAACAGUUUGUGCUGGAAGAUGUAUUGGCCAGACUGCCAUAGGGCAAUCUUUGAACUAUUGAAAUCUUUAGAAAUAUUGUUUAGUACUUGAACAAUACUUACAAACCUAAUUAAUCAAGCAUAGAUGCUCCUGCUCUCUCUUUACACAGUGUAUUAUUUGACUUCAAGAAUAGCAUUCUCAGAUAUAUUUUGAAAGGCUUUACUGUUUAGGCAAACUACUACUUCUAACGAGCAGUUGAGAUUGCAGCUCCAUCUGUGCAAAGUAAUCAGAUAAGUGACAUAAUUAUUAACAAUGAUAUUGCAUUUUACUGUUAAUUCACUACUAUAUAUCUAUGUUAUAGCAUUAUAUAGCUCUAUAGAUAUAGAUCUAUAGCAUUAAGUGCAAAUAAGCUAAUAUUUUCAGCUUAAUCCAAUCCUAUCUAACAAGUAUUAUAGUGCUUCUAAGGUAUGCUCCACAGCUUCUGGUGGUGAUAAUGUGAAUUAUAUAUGCAGUGGCAUUAAUAAAUAUUGUUUAAAAACUAUCUGAAUAUAACAGUUCAACUAUGACAGCAUUUUCAAAACCCCUUGUCCUCUGUGCAGCCUAUUUGCUUCCACAUAAAUGUGCAUAGGAUCACCAUUAAGUGGAUUUUGCAAAAUUCAUAGGGAAAAUGUUCUUAUUUAUUCCAGGAACUAGUAUAAUUGCUUCAUUAAUGGAGCCAGAUAUACACCACAAUCUUUAUUCCCUGAACAGUGCUGCUGGAGAGGGUUAGCAUAAGGCGGAGGUGUCCCUCUGCUGGGCUCUGCAAGUGGAGGCGACUCCUCUGCAGACGUCCCUGUGUCACCUGAUGGUGACAGGCUCUUGAGAAGCUUCUGGGGCACUGUUUUGGUUGGCAGUACAAAGCACAGGGUGCUGAAAUGGAUCAGUACACAAGUGGAAGUGGAUCAGAGUCAGCAUGGUCCCACCAGAUACAAAGCUGCUGCAUUUCCCUAGGAGGAGUCCAACUUUGACCUGGCACAACAACAACAAAAAAGAAAAAUCUGCCCACUUUCUUUCCUGGUCAUCAUGUGUAUCAGGGAUUUGGAUUGUACUGCACUCCUCCCCAGUCCCAUUUAGGAUUUCUGUGCUGCCUUGAGCUUUUCACCCUGGGCAGCAUGAAUGGCAGGACUUUGGAUAUGGCAGUAGCUCUGCCAUUCCAUUCAACCCUGCUGCUUCAAGUUCCCCAUAGGAUUGCUCUGCUUGCCAUGCUUAGAAUAGACCUACUGAAGUUGGUCAUAGUCUAGAGUUGCCAUAUUUCAAACAGCGAAAAUCUGGACAGAAAAAUUGUUGUUUUUUGGCCAAAGUCCGGAUUUUCCAGGAUAUUUUAGCGAUUUCUGCUUGGACACUGCUUCCGACUGCAGUAUUCUGGAUAUGUCUGAUAAAUUCCGGAUGUAUGGCAUCCAUUUCAUAGUCCUAUUUAUUUCACUGGAUGUACUGUAAGCAUGACUAAGUCUGAAUCCUAGCCAAAAUUUGAGAUUAAGACAGAAUACAUUUGGUACACAUCUUUAUGAAAGUCCACAAUAAUUAUUGAUUUAUUUAUGGUAUUUUGCAUUGCCCUUUAGGACAUAGUCAAAACACAAUACUGUGCAUUAAGACACAUUAAUAAUCACCAAAUCAUAAUACAGAAAAUUAUAAAACAGAAGCUGAGAGUUGUAGGUAGGUCUCAAUCAUAUUGUGCAAAUUUCCAUUAAAAUUAUGUAGCCUUCCAGAUCAACAAGGCUUUCAAAGCUUUUUCUUCUUUUCUGCUUUCUUGUAGGAUAUGUUUUACUUGGAUCUAGAGUGCAGCAAAGGACUUUUUGAAUAAACAGAUUAAUAAAAUGAGGCAGAAUAUUAUUUUAUUAAGCUUUAUUAUUUUACAGUGGAAUGAGCACUCCAAUUCUAUUAAGUCUUUACCAAAUUAUCAUACAUGUACUUAUUUUGUUAGAUGCUGUAAACUUGGAAUAUCUCAGUGAAAAAUACUAUGGGCAGCCUUUGCUUUAAUUGCUCUAGCAACUCUAUUUCUUUCUUUAGGUCUGAUUUUGAAUGUGCAUUCAAGUUUGGAACUAUAUAUUGGAGACUUAAAAGUCCAGAUGCAACAGGUAGGACUUAGCAAAGCAUCUGGGGUUCUUCUAAUUUUGCUCCUGUUUAUUUGUGUUCUUCAGCCAAUUUUAGAAGAGAACAGGUGCAGCCAGUGAGAACCAAUCUGCUUGCGCAUUGUGAAGAUGAUGUUCCAAAAAUGCCACCACCAAGCUCUGUCUCCAGUGGGGAAGAGAUGGUUGGAAUGGGAGCAAUGGCAUAUCCUCACCUACCUAUCAACCUGGAGACCACCUGUGUACACAUUAAGGAGAAAGCAGAAGACACUGAAACUGCUAUAGAGUAAACACAGACAGAAAUGUAGAAUGUCUCGAUUCAGCCAGGAUACAAAGCAGUGCAACUUCAUUAUUUUCAGAGGCUGAAGCCAUUCAGAAAAUUUUCAUAGGCCAUCCUGAACUGUAAUUAGCCAAUCACCUUUGAGAGGGAAACAGAUUGUUGUAAGAAUAUUAAACGACUAAACAACAACAACAACAACAAGCCUUUCCCCCAGAUCGGGGUGCAAGGUAGCUUGCAGAUAGAACGGAAACAGCUAAAAUACAAAAUCAUUGAUUGGCCAGGUAUGUAACUUAUAUUGUGUUCUCAUGCCUCAUUCAAGGAAGCCCCAUGAAUUUUGGUACAACAUAGACACACAGCUUGCUGUCCACCCUACAGGUACACAUAUUGGCACACAAAUCAGCACCUGCUGGUGGGGUGGCAUUACUUUCCCAGUUUCCCAUUGUGGAAGUCGCUGUCAGUAACCGAGAUGGGGAGUCAAGGUGGCAAGGAGAUUGGCAUGGUGCAGGUGCAGUGGCAGAGUCAAGCUGACACUUCUAAUGCUGUGCUGAAACUGUACUGACCUCCCCACUGCCUUACCCCUUUCAGUUACUGACAGCGACCUCUGUUUUGGUAAGCCAGGUAAACAGUGUCAUCCCACUGUGCUCCAUUGGUCACUAUCGAUGCAGAUAACAUUGUUCAUCACUGACUAGGGGGCUAAUCUAUCCCCUUAUAGCAAGAGCUAGAGGGCAGAUAAUCACAAAAGGUUGCACUACCAAGCAUACAGUGUGUAGGCUAAAAUACCAUAUUAGGUGAGCUGCUUUUAUAUGGGUUAUUAAUACAUACAAAUUUAGAACACUAGAUAGCCAUUGCCAGUCAGUGUAGGCAGUAUUCAGCUAGAUGGACCAAUGAUCUGAUUGCAUGGCAGUUUACUAUGUUCCUAAAUUCUAGUUCUGCUUCAGACUCAGAUCAGAAUUUUUGUCCAAGCAAUGGGAACUCCCACUUUAAGGGGUUUUCUGUGAGCCCGGAGGAUGCAGCCUCUACCUAAACAUUUAAGGCUGAAGGUCCACUAACAAUUGGUAGCUCUUAAUUUUGUCAUACACAAUUCCCUAACCACAUCAUUUCCUUAGCAGCAUUUUUAAACAGACUUGUGUGCGUAAAAAUCCCACAUGUUCCCUUGUUUUUAGUAUGUGAAUGUUCUUUCAGAUAUAGAAGUACAUGUGCAGAGUACAUUAUCUCUAGGUGUUGUUUUUUUUUUGGAAGCUUCUCUAGUGCUUUCCUCAGUCACGAGCAGUGCUUUUUUUCUGGGGGGAAGCAGGGGUACGCAUACCCCUAAACAUUUUGUGACUCUAAGUUUGGCCUCAUUGAGGGGCAGUAUUUCAAUAUGAGUAGGAAAAUCAGAGUACCCCUAAACAUUUUUUUAGAACAAAAACACUUGUCACGAGGAAUGACUCUUUUUCCGACCUGGGCUCAUCUCCCAUGCCUGCAAGAGUUUCUUCAAGAGCUAAGCCUGAAGCAAACUUCCUACCAACCCUUCUCUAAAGACUUCUUCAACGGUCUUCCAAACUACGAUCCGGACAGCUUCAGUUACCAUGGCACUGCAGACAUUCUCCAUGCUUCGCCAUAUUCUAUGAAAAAAUGCUCGGGGCAAACCCCCGUCUUUCGUGGAAAUUUGGCAUGACCGUCUCCUUCACUCCUGGCCUGUCCUUCCGCCGAUCUCGGCACAAAGAGGUUAAUAAAUGUUUACUUCGCCCCCCCUCCCCUUGCCCCCCUCCCCCCAAUGUUUCCAUAUGGCUUGUUCACAGGCUUGUGCUUGUUUGUGUCUGAAUGCCCACUUGCAUUGACUGGUGUGAGGGAAUUGUUCCACUCAUGCUGGCCAUCCUCAAAUCAAUGCCGGCCUCUAACAAGAGAAAGUGCCUCAGAUGUAGUGGUUUCCACAGGACCAUUGUUGGCCUUUUGUUAAGCAUUUUUGAACCUAAUAAAUAAUGUCAAAAGUCUCUUUCCUAGCCGAAAAUGUUCCUUUUGAAAACUCUUCUAGUAGUAUUUUUGUUCAGUGAUGGCUUCCAGUGUUGCAAAGAAUUUGCACUUUACAAUGGUAAUUUGAUGUAUCGCGUGCCAUGUUGCAAUAUGGAUUUUUUUUUUUAAAUGCUGAAGUGUUGUCACUAGAUGGAAAUCCCUAUUUCUUUAACAUGUUCUCAAACUGAGAGGUCCUUUCAGG